UGUUUUUUUAUUUUUUGAACAGGUAAAUCCAAGGUUUUAAUAAACACCGAACUUCUUUGUUAUUUAAAUUUGAACUUCACUUUUUUAUAUUUUGAGUAAAGAAUUGUAUUCGAUUUUUAUAUGGAAAAAACCGAACAUGGAAAUACAAGGUGAACCUCUCUCGCAAGAAUUUUUGAACUUCUCCGGAUAGAGCACUUGAACUUCUUUCAACAAACCUUUUAAGCUUUUAUUUUUCUAUACUUUUAUUCUCACCUGAAAUGCAUUCCUUCUAGUACUUGACCUUCUCGCUGUUUUUACUACGAACUUCUGUCGCCAUUUUGUGAAAAAAAUUGAACCUCUUUCUGUAUUAUUAGAAAUGGCAAAAAAUGGAGUUCUUUAGUAAAUGUUGAACUUCUUCGUUAUUUCAAAUCAAACUUCUUAGUUUAUUCGUUAGUAAUGGAAAAAAUCAAGUUUUUGUAAUAAAUAUCGAGCUACUUCAUUUUUUGAAAUUGAACUUCUUUGUUUAUUUUUUUAGUAAUGAGGAAAAUCUGACUUUUUCAUAUACAUUGAACUACUCUAUUUUUUAAAUUGAACUUCUUGGUUUUUUUUAAUUUAACUUUCUUGGUUCUAUAAUAAACAUUAAACCUCUAAUUUCUUUUUGGAAACAUGGAAAAUGCUUUUUUAAAUAAUUUUUGGAACUACCAUGUUUUUAAUUUUUUGCACUUCUUUGUUUUUUAAAAAAGAGAGAUGAAACCUUUUUUACAAACAUUGAAUUGCUUUGUUUCUUUUUAUUUGAACUUUUAGCUUUUUAUUUUGCUUCGUUCACACCACAUUUAUCCAAAUUUCUUGAGGAAAAUUCCAACAUGGUCUCUUUUAUUUGUUUUAUGAAACUCUUGUUUCCUCUGCACUUAUCUAGCUUAUGUAUUUGAGCUUACAUACUUCUAAAACCUGAACUUCACUUUUUUAUCAUUUCAUAAGUAAACUUUUCUCACACAAAUGCACCAAUUUCAUAAGAAAACUUUCUCUCAGAAAUGCACAAGAAUGGAUUCUUUUUUCUUACCUGAACUACCUACACGGGAAAGCCAAAGAUAAGUUCUUUUUGUCUCGCUUAAACAAAAGUUCUUUAUAUCAGUGAAAUGAAAAAUUAAACACAACAAAAAAUGAGCUUCUCGCAAAACUAUUUUUAUUUAUACAAGUUUUUUUAAGGGUGUGUGCUCCACUGGUUUCUCUACCUACCAGAGAUUUCAAAUAACAAAAUGGAAGGGGGAAAACGGGAGGCAUGCGACAUGAGUGAUGUAGUGGUUAUGGGAAUGAAACAGACGGCGGCAACAUUGACAAGUGGAAUUUUUUCCACCUCAUGUUUAAAAUCAGUGCAGUCGAAUGAUAUUCCAAAUACUAACAAAAUGACCACAUUAUAUACAAAGAGAAAUGCAAUGUUCGGGGCUCAUUUUUCUACAACUCACACACCUUUGUUCUCAUCCACCUCGCAAAGAAAAAUCUGAGCCAGCACAACUGAAAGUCUGAAAGCUACUCAUGUAAAUAGAAUAAAGAUCAAUACUUUUUGCAAAAGAGAACGACUACAAGUUGACGAACAACUACAAGUUGAAGGGACUAGUUCUAAUGCUUGUAGUAUUAGCUCCUUCGUGUUGACCAAUUCCACCAAGAACAAUCCAUGUAUGGAACAGGCCGAGCAGGAUGAGGGAACAUGAGCAGGAGCUGCACUACCAUGACCUGGUUAAAGAAGUUCAGUGCAUCCCUGGCGUGCAGCUUCUUGCGCCCCUUCUCCAUCUCUGCCUAGGCCAUUUACCCAUGUAACUUGUCAGACACUACAGAGUUGAGCGUGCACGUUUGCUCGGGGGAACAACCUGGACUUCUGAACUUCUGAAGAACGAAAAAAUAUACAGGUGAUUCAGUCGCAAGCUCCUCAAAAUUGUAUCAAGUCCAGCACAUCACAAUAGCGAUUGGAGAUAAAAAGGUUGACAGAGAGAGAUACCAGGGAGGCGCGAUCCUGCUGUGCUACACGCUGAAGUUGGACGUCGCGCCAUCAGAAUUCUGAACUUCUAAAGAACAGCGGCUGAUGCUUGAUGAGGAACCAAAAAUGGGUUGCUGUUGUUGGUUUAGGACGAAGAAGAUGCAAUCCGGACUGUAUUUGCCACAGUCGCCACGGCCUCGCGUUGGUCGCCGCGAGUGGAUCCGUGGGUAUGGCCAGCGUGGCACUCGAGGUGGUUCAUGUCUGCCUGCACGCGACGGGAGGAGAUGUGCCUGAGCUCUAUCGGCGGCAUCCUCGGGGAGGCGGAGGGUACAGAUCGUAGGUGGGAUCUCCGCGGCGCGUAACAAUGACGACAUGCAGGCGGCGGCGCGUGACAGGUCGCGUAGGAAGGGAGGGAAGGUCGAGCCGUAGGGGGGGAGUCGCGUCGGAGUGGCAGAGGUCGUCGGGGUGUAGGGCCGCGGCGGAGGUGGUCGGGGUGGAGGGCGGCGGAGGAGGUGGUCAGGGUGGAGCGUGGCGGUGGAGGUUGUCGUGGUGGAGGGCGGCGAAGGAGGUGGUUGGGGCGGUGCCUUUGCAGGCGGCGGCGGAGGUCGUCGGGAGUNNNNNNNNNNNNNNNNNNNNNNNNNNNNNNNNNNNNNNNNNNNNNNNNNNNNNNNNNNNNNNNNNNNNNNNNNNNNNNNNNNNNNNNNNNNNNNNNNNNNNNNNNNNNNNNNNNNNNNNNNNNNNNNNNNNNNNNNNNNNNNNNNNNNNNNNNNNNNNNNNNNNNNNNNNNNNNNNNNNNNNNNNNNNNNNNNNNNNNNNNNNNNNNNNNNNNNNNNNNNNNNNNNNNNNNNNNNNNNNNNNNNNNNNNNNNNNNNNNNNNNNNNNNNNNNNNNNNNNNNNNNNNNNNNNNNNNNNNNNNNNNNNNNNNNNNNNNNNNNNNNNNNNNNNNNNNNNNNNNNNNNNNNNNNNNNNNNNNNNNNNNNNNNNNNNNNNNNNNNNNNNNNNNNNNNNNNNNNNNNNNNNNNNNNNNNNNNNNNNNNNNNNNNNNNNNNNNNNNNNNNNNNNNNNNNNNNNNNNNNNNNNNNNNNNNNNNNNNNNNNNNNNNNNNNNNNNNNNNNNNNNNNNNNNNNNNNNNNNNNNNNNNNNNNNNNNNNNNNNNNNNNNNNNUAUAUAUAUAAAUGGCCGCACAGGGGACAUAAUCAUAUUCUCAGGCAAAUAGUAUAAAUAUAGCCUCAUAAUCGAAAUAAACAUUGUUUUUACAAUAAUUCGAUCAUCACUCGAACAAGACAUUCUUCGAGCACUGCGCCUCUAUCAGGCGGGCACCCUCUGUGACCUGUGCCAAGUAGUGCUCGGCCGGAUAUUGGCCCCCCACCGGAUCCUGGGACGCUAUAAUGAUGGCAUCCAUAUCUGUCCAAUAGGCCUUAACGCGGGCAAGAGCCAUCCGAGCACCUUCUAUGCACGUUGACCUUCUCAUGGCAUCGAUCCGGGGCACGGCCCCAAGGAAUUGUUGCACCAGGACAAAAUAACUGUCUGGCUUAGGCCCCUUCGGCCAAAGAUGGUCUAUCACAGAUCGCAUUGCAAGCCCGGACAGCCGGUGAAGCUCCGCUACAGCAGCCAUCUUGUCACUUAACGGCAGCGGGCGAGUGGGAGCAUUGAAUUGCGACCAGAAAAGCUUCUCCACUUCCUCGUCACCUUGAUCUUUGAAGAACUCGGUAGCGUCGGCCGCACUCUUCGCCAAAUCCGCAUACGCGUCCGCAGGACUCCAGCGUCCAUCCAGGGGAGCGUACUUCGGAUUGAAAAACUUUGUCCACAGCAAAUAGGAGCUCCCAGCCGCGAUUUUAUCGGAUUGUUGAAGCUCCUCCCGCGCACCCCUGAGCUUGGUCCGUAUUUCCUUAGUGGCAUUAAGUGCCUUGUUCAGGUCGGCCGAACUAUUCUCAUGCUCCUUCUUAAGGAGCUCAUACCGGUCAGCGGCAUUUUUUAACUCGAUAGCCAUUUUGGAUAUCUUUUCCUCGCUUCGGCGAUGAGCAGCCUGUUCAGCUCUCAAUUCCUCGGCCGCCUUUAGGGAAGCCGCAUUGCUCACCCGAGCUUGUUCCUUGGCUUGAGCAAGUUCCGCCCUCACGGCCUCCACGGCAGCAGCACCAUCUGCAGUCCAAACAUGUUACAUCAAUAUCAUGCCACCUUCAUAUUUUCCUAUAUAAGGGAAGGCAUGACACACACCUUGUGAUUUGUCCAGCCACUCAUUCACCAGCGUGAUAUCGGCAUCAAUCGACCCAAUUUGCCUCGUUAGUUCAGCAACUUCAAUGGAAUGGCCGGCGUCUGGACCCACAGGUACCCACACAUAUUUACAGCACAAUCAUUGGUUUAUGUUCCCCCGUUUGCCGCCUAGGGCAGGCAACCAAAGUCUCAGGGCUACUAUCUAUAUGGAGCACACCUAGCGCGUGCUUCAUAGCCAAAGAAAUAGCGUAUUCUUCAUUACGUACCUCAAAGCCUCUGAGCAGGCUGGUGAAUGCUUCAUUCAAACCGCCUGUAGCGGAUGAAAUCUUCUUGAGCACCGCGCUCAUUAACAAGCGGUGCUCCUCCGAGAGCGCAGCUCGCUCCAGUAAGCCCGUCAGUACGUCCGGCCGGACAUUGAGCUGCGCCGGACCCUUCCCGUCGCCCCCCGUGUGAGUCAAACGCUCCGGACCCAGGGCGGCUGACGUAUUGGCUUCCGGCUUCAGCAGAUCCGGACUCCUUCGUGACGACACCUUGGUGUCGCCCGCUUCAUGAGUCGGAGAGGCGGGUGGGGUCUCACUUUCCAUCAUCUCCGGAGGAAGGUCCCCCGAAGAGGAACCCUGUUGAGAAGAGCUGCUGGCCGGACUGCAAAAAUUUGAAUCCUCGUUAUUGAUCUAGGAUAAACACAGUACCUUCGGAUUGCAAAUUGACUUACGGCUCGGUGGAGGGCUGGCCCGUUGGAGGGCAUGAUGCGGUGAGGGUGCCUGUCGGGACAUGGCCCCCUGGGGAUGUCUUCUUCCCUGGUUUGGGCAUCUUCGCCUCCAAGUCUUUGGAGGCAGCCCUUUUCCUCCCGCGCGGGGAGGAGGCCUUAGCCUCCCUUUCCUGACUAUCCUCCUUAGGGGAGGUAACAAUUCCCCCGGUUCGGAUGCGUAGCGUGUGGGGUUUGGUUUCUUCAUUCUUCCCCUUGUCUUUCCCCGAGGGCAUCUUGCUGAGUACCCGGUCAAGCAUCUUGGCCACGGUGGGACCAGGCGAACCUUCAGGAAGUGGCGCGAGACAUCUGAUUCUCUCCGCCUUGCUGAGCCAUUCCUGGCCACGGAUGAUUUUCAUAAUAAACAACUAUGACAGAUUCAAAACAAGGUGUCCGGUGUCAAGAUUACUUACUUGGGUAUCUGGGCGAUUGCAGCUUAGGCCCGCAUCCUCGAUGGUGUCCGGACACUCUACUUUCUGUCCAAAGAAUAAUUUGCACAUCUCUUCGAGCUUCAAGCCAAAGAAGUGCUUGACAGUCCGCGGACCCUCCGGAUUGAACUCCCACAUCCGGAGAGGCCGGUGUUGGCACGGUAACAUCCGUCGGAUUAGCAUCACUUGCAUUAUGCUGACAAGGUUAAUGUCCCUCUCAAGAAGCUCUCGGAUGCGAUUAUGCAGUACUGGUACAUCGCCAGCGGGCCCCCAAUUCCGCCCUACAUCGGUCCAAGAUGCUAGCUGUGACGGGGGGCCCGAGCGGAACUUGGGAGCGGCCACCCACUUCGUGCCUUUGGGAGCCGUGACAUAAAACCACCUCCAUUGCCAUACAUCGGAUACUUCCGGGAAAGAACCCUCUGGCCACGGGGCAUCGGCGUUCCUGCUUAUUACGGCGCCUCCUCACUCCGCGUGUCGCCCCUCGAUCAUCUUCGGCUUCACAUUGAAGGUCUUAAGCCAUAAGCCGAAGUGUGGGGUGACAUGGAGAAAAGCCUCGCACACGAUGAUGAACGACGAGAUAUGGAGCCAGAUCAUGAAAAUCCAACCCAUAAUAGAACAUGAGCCCCCUCACAAAGGGGUCGAGGGUGAGGCCCAAGCCGUAGAGGAAGUGUGGGACAAAAAUGACACACUCAUUAGGCUCCGGUGUGGGGAUGACUUGCCCUGGAGCAGGAAGCCUGUGCUGAAUAUCGGCGGUCAGGUAUCCGACCUCCCUAAGCCUCGCAAUGUCUUCCUUCUAAAUCGAGGAGGCCACCCAUCGGCCCUGAGGGGAGGAUCCGGACAUAUUGGAGGAUCUGGGGUGUUGAAGCUUGAGUUUCGGGUGUUAGAGCUUGAGGUACGAGAAGGCGCGAGGAAGGUGGAAAAAAGGCGAAGGCCUCGACCCCUUUAUAAAGAGGGGGAAUAUCAAGAGUCCUCGGUGUGACCGUUUGAGGCUUAUCUAAAAACACACGGAGUUAUACCAACGGCCGUCGUGGGGUCGCGCACGCCCAUAUUGAUGAAAAAUCCCGUAAUAAAAGGAACACGAUCUCUGCCUCGACGAGACGUGCCAAUAAAACCGCCUCGUUACACGAGUCGUUGUGGGGUAAGAAACGUCGGCUCGCAUUGGACCAGGCCAUGAUGCACGGGCACGAUUCACGAAGAUUGCCAACAGAUCAGAUUUAUGCCUUGUGAAGAUCAUCUUGCUGAUCCGGACAUGAUUCAAGUGUUCAAUAAUUACUUUGGAGUAUUCGGAGAAGGAACCCGCCUUGCAAUGCCGAAGACAAUACUGCGCGCCGGACUCAUCGUCAUUGUAGCCUAGUGUAGGGGCUACUGAGGGAGUCCUGGAUUAGGGGGUAUCCGGAUAGCUGGACUGUGUGCAACGUCCGAACUAUUGAAGCGUGAAGAUUCAAGACUCAUGACUCCGGCCCGUGUCCGGAUGGGACUCUCCUUUGCAUGGAAGGCAAGCUUGGCGAUCCGGAUAUUGUGUUUCCUUCCUUGUAACCGACUCCAUGUCACCCUAUCCCUCUCCGGUGUCUAUAUAAACCGGAGAGGUUGGUCCUUAGAAGACCGAUCACAAUUACAAUCAUACCAUCAUAGGCCAGUUUCUAGGGUUUAGCCUCUACGAUCUCAUGGUAGAUCUACUCUUGUACUACCCAUAUCAUCAAUAUUAAUCAAGCAGGAAGUAGGGUUUUACCUCCAUCGAGAGGGCCCGAACCUGGGUAAACAUAUGUGUCCCUCGCUUACUGUUACCAUCAGCCUUGACGCACAGAUCGGGACCCCCUACCCGAGAUCCGCCGGUUUUGACACCGACAGGUCCCGACUAUCACGCACUUCCUUGCGUGCGAAGAUGUAACUGGUGGGUCCCAGCAGUCAGGGGGGCGAAUCGUUUUUUUUUUCGGAUGCACUUCCUUGCAUGUGAAGAUGUAACUAGUGGGUCCCAGCAGUCAGGGGAAAACAUUUUUUCACGAAAUACGAUGGUCCGUCCGGUGGGUCCCUGUUGUCAGGUGGAGGAAUCAUUAUUUUCCACGUAAUAAGGAGGCACUUCCUUGUUGCAGCCGUGGACCCAGCUCUCAGCCUCUCCAUGUACAGUCCACGUCCGAUGGAAGUCGUUCCUCGACCACGUCGACCACGCCGCGCCGAGAGCACCAGGGCGGUGGACAAGGGUGAGGACUAGGAAGGGGACGAUGCGGAGCCGAGGAAGACGCGGUAGUGGAUGCCCACGCGUAGAGGAGUAUGAGGUUUCACUGGUUCGGGUGCGGUGUGAGGCUGUCGUCGCCAUAGAAUAACAGGGGGUGUGGGUGAGUAGAGGGAUGGCCUGGCCAGCGGUGGGAGUAGUAGGGGGCGGUGAGGCCUCCGUGUCAUCACAGCCGGCCACGGAAGGCAGGAGCAUGCGGCACGACUGGCGCUGCUUUGGGCAGCUGGAGCAAGAAGACCAGAGGUUGAAGAAGCACUAUGGCCGUUGGAUGGACAUCAUACGGUCACUGGAGCUAGGAUCAUUCAUAUUGACUAAGUUGACAAAGCCCUCUGUCCCCGUCAACUUAGUAGCCCCACAAGUCAGCCUCCCACCAAGGUGGGUACUAGCUAGCAGGGGGGGUAUUCAUUUUUUUGUGCGUAAUAAGGAGGCACUUCCGGUGGGUCAGAGCUGACAGCGGGGGGAACGUUUUUUUUUCAUGAAAUACGGUGGCCCAUCCGGUGGGUCCCAGCAGUUAGGGGGGAGACGUUUUUUCGCGAAUAAGGUGGCCCGUCCGGUAUGUCCCGACUGUCAGGUGAAGGAAUAAUUAUUUUGCACGUAAUAAGGAGGCACUUCCUUGCGGCCGCCUGGACCUAGCUGUCAGCCUCUCCAUGUACAGUACUCUUCCGAUGGAAGUCGGUCGUUGACCAUGUUGACCACGCUGCGUCAAGAGCACCAGGGCGGUGGACAGCGGCAAGGCCUAGGAAGGGGAUGAUGCAGAGCCGGGGAAGACGUAGCAGCGAAAGCCCGCGCAGAGAGGAGUACGAGGGUUCACUGGUUCGGCUGCGGUGUGAGGCUGCCAUCGCCGCAGAAUAACAGGGGGUGUGGGUGAGUAGAAGGAUGGCCUGGCCAGCGGUGGGAGUAGUACGGGGCGGUGAGGCGUCCGCGGCAUCACAGCCGGCCACGGGAGGCAGGAGCACGCGGCACGACCGGCCCUGCUUUGGGCGGCUGGAGCAAGAAGACCAAAGGUUGAAGAAGCACUACGGCCGUUGGAUGGACAUCGUAUGAUCACUACAGCUAGAAUCGUUUAUAUUGACUAAGUUGACAAAGCCCUUGGUACGCGUCAACUUAGUAGGCCCACAGCUCGGAUUUGGAAGAGAACAUAUAGCCUGUCACAUCCCCAGUUCAGGCCUUGCUUGUCUCUGCAUAAGCAUCUAUGCAUCAUGUUUAAAUUUAAAGAAACUUGAAAUGGGGAUUGUUUAAACCCUAGUACCAAAUGAUUGCAAAUAGGCUCAAAUAAAAUCAUUUUUCAAUGAACCCAAAAUGCCUUUGAAAAUAUUCAUGAUUUCUGAUAAAGGUGAAAACCUCUGCCAAAAAUGAUGAACCUAUUUCUAGGUUAUUUCUGGAUUCUUGAAUUAAAUCAUAAAGUAUUUGCAUUUGGGCAUUUAAAUGCUAAUAAAUAGUUUAAAUGCUCGAAUAAUCAUAAACUAAAACGUUUGUUGUUGGUUAUAUUUCAAACAGUGGCAUUGAUUAGUUUCAUGAUUUUUGGAUCGGUUUAAGUAUUUUAAAUAAAGCCCUAAAGACUACAUAAUAUUAGAAAAGCAGAAACAGAAUUAGCAGAGAGAGAGACAGACAGUACCUGGAACUUACCUGGCGCCCACCAAAGCCCACCUGGCCGGCCUGGUUGGCCAGCCCAGCCCACCUCCUCACGCGUCGUCUUCCCCAUGCCUUCUGGCAUCGUGCGUGGUGCGCGCACAGCCGAGCCGCGGCCACCUCCUGCUUCUGCCGACGCCUUGGACGGCUCCAGACGACGCCACGCACCCCCCCCCCAGGCCCUCUCACUCCUCUCCCCGUGCUCAUUCCCUCCCCUGUCCCUCUCGCGCGCACCCACCCGAGAGCCACCGUCGCCGCCGCUCGCCGCUGCCGCGCCCUGAGCCUUCCCCGUGCCUCUCCGACGAGACCUCGAGCUCCGCCGUGGACCCAUAUGCCGUCUUCCCCGAGCCACGCGACGGGAAGAGCCCCGGAGCGCCGUCCCCGAUGUCUUCAUCCUCCUCGGGCCACCAAGAUCGCCGGCGACCUCCCGUCGUCACCAGCCCCUCCCCGAGCACGCCGAGGCCUCCGUUUAACUCAUGGUGAGCUUCUGCGUCUUUCCCCUUCCUUACCGGGCUCAUUCCUGUCCUGUAGUCGCUGAUUCCACUGGAGCCGCGAGCUCGGCUCUGCCGGCCAUGUCGCCGUCAUGGCCACCGUCACCUAGAGCUACCACCGAGCGCACCGACGUGCUCAGCACAAUGCCAGAAGACCAAAACCCCCUCCAAUUGCUCCUGUCAUGCAACGCAACGCCGGAACCGCUGAGACCCGAACUCCGGCCGCCGCCUUUGAGCUCGCCGCCGUCGAUAUAGAUCGCCCCCGGCUUAACUGACUGCACCACUCGAUGCGCGGGAACUUCAGCGUCACGUAGAUGCCCUCCGCCGGCCAUUUGGUCGCCGGAGGAGGAAUUCUGACCCCCUCCGCUGUCUCGGGCUCCACCGGCGACGAGCCGUGGACCAAGUCCGGCGGGUUUGACCCGCUGACCGUUGACUGGGUGGGCCCAGUUUGACCCCUGGGUCACUGACGUGUGGGCCACCCUUGCUAAUUUUAGUUAGAUUAGUUUAGCACUAAUUAACCUAGGUUAAUGACUAACCUAACACUAACUAACUCUGUUUAGUUAGUCAACUAACCACUGACAUGCGGGCCCAGGCCCCAUUGACAGUUUAGUUAGUAUUAACUUAAUCCUGUUAGCUAGCUGUUACACUGACAUGUGGGUCCCAGCAUCAGGGUUGACCUGGACCACGCCCGUUGACCGCUGACAUCACAGUGACGUCAUGCUGACGCAAUAAGCUAUUUUCUGGAUUUAUUUUAAUACAGGAAAUUCCAGAAAAUCUUGCAAACUUCAAAAAUUCAUAGAAAUUAAUCUGUAACUCCAAAUGAAAUAAAUUAUAUAUGAAAAAUGAUCAGAAAAAUCCAAUCUAUCCAUCUGUACCAUUUUCAUGCAUGUUAGAACAACUUAUAGCUGCUGUUUAGCACAAAUCAUAUAAAUGGCAUUUAAAUAUCCACAUAUGGAGUUUGAAUUUGAAUCUAGGGUUCAAACCAACUUCAUUUAACUUGCUGCUAGUUGCAUUAGCUCAAACCACAUCAUAUUGCCAUGUCAUGAUCAUGCAUCAUAUUGUGCAUUGCAUUGAUUGUGCUUCUUCUUUGUUUGUCGGUGCUUGUCCCCUCUCAGUAAGACGUGUACCGACGAUGUGAUCGAUGACACCAAUGAAGAAAUAUACUAUCUUCAGAAGUGCCAGGCAAGCAAAACCCCCUUGUUCAUUCCGAUACAAUCCUACUCUCUCGCUCCUGCUCUCUUUUACUGCAUUAGGACAACAACGAUUCAUCUGUUACUUGCUGUGGUAGCUGAACCCCUUUAUCCUUUGCAUGACCUGUCAUUGCCACAGUAAAUAGAUGAAACCCACUAGCAUGAGUAGGAGUUGUUUGAGCCCUGUUGUGCCUACUCAUUCAUGUUUGUCUGUCAUGCCUGCUAUUGCUUAGAGUUGAGUCAGGUCUGAUUCAUCGGGAAUGAAUCAGAGGUGUGUGAACAUGUCCUACUGCGUGUGAGCUAAGUGUGUGAACACGAUUUGGUAAAGGUAUCGGUGAGAGGCCAUGUAGGUACAUGGUGGGUUGUCUCAUUGAAGCCGUCCUCAGGAACUGAGUUCUGUGUUUGUGAUCCAUGAUUCAGCUACUACCAUGCAUUGGGCCCUGAAAUAUGACCCCGCUCGACUUCUUAUUCACCCUAGUCCUCUGUCCAGGAGUUGCAAGUAGUUUCUGGUGUUUGUAGUAUGCUAGAGGCCGUGCGCAGUGCUGACCGUAGGGGUGGGCUGUGAUGCGGUAGGCACGUGGCCGGGUAAACCGGGCGCCCGUUUGGUGUCACGAAACCCUGUUCACAUCGUUUGGGGCUGUGAGCGAAACUUCGGCCGGAUCUCCUCAUGGAUGGAACCCGAAUAGGCGAUAAACCUGGACUAGAGACUUGAGUGUUUAGGUAGGUCGUGGUCUACACCCACGUCGGCUUUCGCUUGAAGUUUGCCGAGCACAUGUCGUGUUCAGACGCUAAGUGGUGGAAACAUGUAUGAAGAAGUACACCCCUGCAGGGUUAAUAUGAUCUAUUCGAAUAGCCGUGUCCGCGGUAAAGGACUUCUGGGUUGCCUAUAACAGUUCAUAGACAAGUGAAAGUGAAUACUCUAAAAUACGCAAGAUAAGUGUGAGUGCUAUGGAUGGCGUUCUCGUAGGGAGACGGGAGCGGAUCCAUAGUGGUGUAUUGAUAUGGUGAAUAUGUGGACUCGUGUGCGCCACCUCAAAGAGUUACUUGCAGUCGUAGUUUAGGAUAGCCACUGAGUCAAAGCUGGCUUGCUGCAGUUAAACCCCACCAUCCCCUUUGUUGAUAAUGAUGCAUAUGUAGUUAGUUCUGAUGUAAGUCUUGCUGGGUACAUUUGUACUCACGUUUGCCUAUUUUAUGUUUUUGCAGAGAGACCUCGGUCUCACUAGUAGUUCCGCGUGGACUUCGACGUUUAGCUUGUUACCUCAGCUACGAUCUUGUGCCCUCGGCAGGAUCUGGUAGAUAGUCAGGCUUUUCAGCCUUUUUCAUUUGUAGAUGUUUGUACUCAGACAUGUUAAGCUUCCGCUUGUGCUUUGAUUUGUAUGCUCUGAAUGUUGGGUCAUGAGACCUAUGUUUGUAAUAUCUUGCUCCUCGGAGCCUAAUGAAUAAAUACUUGAGUCGUAGAGUCAUGUUGUGAUGCCAUGUUGUAUUUGCACAUAUCGAGCAUAUUGUGUGUAUGUUAUUGAAAUGCUUGGUAUGUGUGGGAUCUGACUAUCUAGUUGUUUAUCUUUAGUAGCCCCUCUUACCGGGAAAUGUCUCCUAGUGUUUCCACCGAGCCGUGGUAGCUUGCUACUGCUCCGGAACACUUAGGCUGGCCGGCAUGUGUCCUUCUUCAUUCCUGUGUCUGUCCCUUCGGGGAAAUGUCACGCGAUGAAUACCGGAGUCCUGUUAGCCCGCUACAGCCCGGUUCACCGGAGUCUUGCUAGCCCAGUGCUACAGCCUGGAUUCACUCGUUGAUGACCGACACGUUCGAUGUUGGGUCAUGGAUGCUUGUCCCUAUAAGUUUGUGCCACUUUGGGUUUACGACUAGCCAUGUCAGCCCGGGCUUCUUAUCAUAUGGAUGCUAGCGACACUAUCAUAUACGUGUGCCAAAAGGCACAAACGGUCCCGGGCAAAGGUAAGGCGACACCCAUGGGGAUACCGUGCGUGAGGCCGCAAAGUGAUAUGAGGUGUUACAUGCUAGAUCUAUUUGGCAUUGAGUCGGGGUCCUGACAGCUUUGGUAUCAGAGCCUGACUGCGUGUAGGAUUACCAAGCCAAACUGGUCAAAGUUGAGUCUAGAAAUGCUUUAGUUAUAUGUAAGGGAAUUGACUGUGGGAUGGGAACGUAAGGCUCUUUUUACUCCUUAUACCUCAUGGCCUUCUGAUCUGAGUCAACCUCUUCUCUUCUACGGGGAUUAAGAACUAGGCUUCUCAUCUAUCUACUAGGAUGAUGAGUUACUAUGUUAGAGACUUAUAGGAUUGAUAGUUUCAAGCCUCAGUUCAGCUUUUACUACUUCUGUAUGUUCAUAGCUGGUCUCAGAACCUUGCUUUUGUGAUGUUGAGUGGUCAUGCCACUAUUUUGCAGGAUGUCUCAAAUCAUUUUGAGCAUUUACAGCCAUUAUGCUGUCCGAGUCAUCCCAGGUUCCUAAAUAGUCUGAUGCAUUUGCAAAUCCUUUCUUUCCAUUCCCAGUGUCCUUUAUGGUCAGAAUAAGCACACUAAUCGGUGCGUUGAGGUAAAUUAUUGCCUUGACAUAUAUGUUGGAGUUAUUAUUAUGACUCUAGGUGUCUUAGAAGAUUACCUAGUAAACUAGCCAUGUUUUGUGUUCCCCGUUUAAUGAUUCUGGCCAUCAUUCUCGAAAGCAUCCCGUGAUGUUAUUAGUUAGUAGGUAUUCUAUUCCUGGGUUCUUGAACCCGAGGUUCACCCACUUACUUCAUGUUGAUAGUGUUUGCUAGUUCCUUUAGGUUGUUAGUAACCUUGCGAUAGUCCUCGAGGUCCGUGGUAUUUCCUUCUUCCAAAUACUAUGAACCACUUAUGGCAGAAGUUGUUGGAUCAAAAGAUCACAACAAGAGUACUCUCGAAGAGUUCUCCAAUCAUAAUUGUGAAUCUGCCAGUUCUACCCUUUCCGCAUGGGUUAUCCGGAAGAAAUGUUGAGCUUCGCUCGACAUACUAAUCUAUGCAUCCACAACUCAAAAAGUUAUAUGUUCCUUUGAGUUGUUCUCUUUAGUUGUGUCCUGACCCUCGUCUAUCAAUUGAUAGUCAAGAGUAUGCGUGCAUUCGUUCAUCGAUACCUAUUACUCUUGUGGUCCGCCAAGCCAUUCUAUUCCGGAAUGACUAGGAGAAACAAACUCCAGUACCUUGUCCAUUUCCAGGAUUGGGUCAAAGCAGUCGUACUCCGCAGAUCAAAUUGCUAAUCUAGCUUUUGCUCUGUUCUACCUUGGAGUAUUACCAUCUUUAUAUCAAGAAUGUCAUGGGAAUUGCACACCAUCCUAUGAAUUCUUGAUACAGUGAUACUUCUUGCCAUCAUUGUUCAUUUCUCGGUUUCCGUGUUAUUGUAACCGGAAUGCCGACAAGUGAAUUGUGAUGUGUGAAAUCAAUACUCCGAGCAACUCGUUGCUUGGUAGUUAAUGGACAAUAUUCUCAUUCUUAGUGUGUUGGUUAUUAAAUCAUCAUCCUAAGAUUGAUCGUGCUACCUAGUCCUUAUUUUGGUGCACUCUUCGAUCAAGAGCUAGGAUUGUAUCAAUCCCUUUCUUAUUUAGUCAUAUCAUCUUGCCCUCGAAAGCAAGAUUGUUCUCGGGCUUAGAAACAUACCGGUGGUUCGUGAUUUUCGGAAUAUCUUCUCCGAAGUAUUACCAGGUUGUCACCUGACCGCUAUGUUGAGUUCGUGAUCAAGAUGGUUUCUUAUAAACCAUCCCCUUCUCCAAGAAUCUGUGUUGGAUACCCCUGAGCUAGUUGGUUAAGCUAAACAACAACUUGGAGAGUUAGAAGAUAAAAGCUCACCUGACUUAGUUCAUCUCCAAGGGAUAUCCUUGUGUGUGUGUGUUGAAGAAAGAUGGUAUCUUCAUUGAUUGAUCCUCGUGGUCAAUUAUUGGAUCUGUUGUCUUACCAAAACUUUGACUUGAGUAUGGGCUAUCAUCAAGUCAAAUCAGAACCAACGAUGUUCGUAAUGUUGUCUUACUCGUGGUUAAUCCCUCGAGCAUACACCAUUAUAUCCUUUGGUCUGACCAAUACUAUCACUUGUUCACAUAAUUCUGGAAUUUCACUUAUGUGGAAACCUGGAUGAAUUGUUGUUGAGCCCAUCAGCAACACUGCUACCUUCUCCAUGAUUUGUGUUGAACAUCCAGCUAGUAUUGGAAACUUCUAUAAGCAUUAUCUUCGUGCCUGUUCAUGAAGAAUAUGUUGAAUGAAAGAAGUGGCUUCCUCUAAGUUCAUGUGCAUUUGAAGCAAGUUGCCGCCAUGAAUUUGAGAAAGUUCGUUUUUGCUUCCUCGGUUACCAUCCCAAGUCAGUCAUGCAUGUGUGAAGUAUGCUAUGGUUUGACAGGCUCACAACCUUCAUUCCAUAUGUAUCCCUAGCACACCAAGCCACUAACUGAUUUAUUCAAGGAGAAGAAGUUCCUUCUUAAGAGCAUGCCUUAUGCAAGGACUUCGUUAUCCUUGAUGAUGGUUCCCCACCUGAACUCGGUAGUGUUUUAUUAUAAGCCUACUACGUGGUCAUGUUUGUCUAGGACAGCGUGUUCACAGGUUUGUAGCAGAACCAGCUCAUGUUUUGGAGCUUGCUAUCGUAGUUCAUUUCCUGAGAAUCACACAACGUCUUCUCAUCGGUUUGUGUUGCAAACUUUCAUUUUUCUUUCUAGACUCGAUGAGUCUAGAUUAUUCUGACACCAACCAGAUCUGAAUCUCAGGCAGAUAUGAUGGUUGGAAUGUUUCCCAAGAAUUAUAAUAUUGGUCCCUCUAACCGGUAAUGUGGAUGUCGUGGCCAACACAUCCAACCGGAAGACCUGUUAUUGUAGUAUCUUGAUUGAGAAAGUUGGCCACCUCCCCAUAGGGAUUUUGCAGGAUUUACUCCUUAGUUGUCCCUUAUGGAUUUUUGUGCUCCCGAAGUCCGACCUUUACUUGAUGUUCUAGAUACCAAACCAUAUCUAUGAAUGGGAUACGCUAGUACAUCAAGGAGAACAUUAGAAGCGGAGUGCUAAAUGUCUCUCGGUCGAUCAUCCAGAUUUUGUUCCCUUGGCCUUGCUAAGGUGAAAUCUGAGAAAGUGUUAUCCUCCUUUGCAUCUGCAUCGUCCAUUGCCAUUCAUCAUGGUAGUAUGUUCUAUUGUCGGCACCCCUGACAUGGAUGUUGGUAAAACCUUGAUGAUUAUGGAAAUGCUCAAGUUCUUGAGAGCACUCACAAGCGCUAGGUGUUAUCAUCGGCACUAACUAGGAUUGCUCUCAAUUUCCUCGGUUAUGCUAUAACUUUUCAAACAGUGGACUCACUCUCUACUGUUGAGAUUCUCCCUAGUUACUAAAAUCAUCCCUUGUGUUGUUUCCAACAAGAUAAUCCACAUCAUCCAUUCUAAUCCGGGUAUGCCAUACUACCGAACCUCUCUAAACGAUCGCUCGAGAAUUGCCUCAGGCUGGUAUAAAGAGUUUCAAUGAUCUCUGAAUCAAAGGUAAUUUCUUUUGCCACUUAAGGGAUGAUUCUACGAGCCACCCUCCCUAAGGUGCCCCGUUAUGGAAUCAUGGAAGUUUAUCCUCGCUACUUGAAACCCUCGUCAAAUUGCUUCUUUCGUCCCUCCUGAUGCAUGUUUUGUCUCUCAGCUCCAGAGAUGUUUCUAUGUCUCAUUCUGUGAAUUGAUCUUGUGAUCAUUAAUAUGAUCCUAAGUUGCCCGAAUCUCAGGAAAAUCGAUUCUUCUAAAAUUCUCCCUUUCUACUUGUUGUCAUGUGGGAUGUAGUUCUCAGAGCAAGACAUCGAGACAAUGAUGGUGAUCGAAUCAACGUUCAUUUGAAGUGCAACCUAGAUCGUGAAGAUUGUGUUAGUUGCGCUCCCCUUUCAUCUUACCCUACGCUUGAAUCUCGGGACGAGAUUCUUGUUUAGUGGGGGUGAGUUGUCACAUCCCCAGUUCAGGCCUUGCUUGUCUCUGCAUAAGCAUCUAUGCAUCAUGUUUAAAUUUAAAGAAACUUGAAAUGGGGAUUGUUUAAACCCUAGUACCAAAUGAUUGCAGAUAGGCUCAAAUAAAAUCAUUUUUCAAUGAACCCAAAAUGCCUUUGAAAAUGUUCAUGAUUUCUGAUAAAGGUGAAAACCUCUGCCAAAAAUGAUGAACCUAUUUCUAGGUUAUUUCUGGAUUCUUGAAUUAAAUCAUAAAGUAUUUGCAUUUGGGCAUUUAAAUGCUAAUAAAUAGUUUAAAUGCUCGAAUAAGCAUAAACUAAAAUGUUUGCUGUUGGUUAUAUUUCAAACAGUGGCAUUGAUUAGUUUCAUGAUUUUUGGAUCGGUUUAAGUAUUUUAAAUAAAGCCCUAAAGACUACAGAAUAUUAGAAAAGUAGAAACAGAAUUAGUAGAGAGAGAGAGAGAACAGUACCUGGAACUUACCUGGCGCCCACCAAAGCCCACCUGGCCGGCCUGGUUGGCCAGCCCAGCCCACCUCCUCGCGCGUCGUCUUCCCCAUGCCUUCUGGCAUCGUGCGUGGUGCGCGCACAGCCGAGCCGCGGCCACCUCCUGCUUCUGCCGACGCCUUGGACGGCUCCAGACAACGCCACGAACCCCGAGGCCCUCUCACUCCUCUACCCGUGCUCAUUCCCUCCCCUGUCCCUCUCGCGCGCACCCACCCGAGAGCCACCGUCGCCGUCGCUCGCCGCUGCCGUGCCCUGAGCCUUCCCCGUGCCUCUCCGACGAGACCUCGAGCUCCGCCGUGGACCCAUACCCCGUCUUCCCCGAGCCACGCGACGGGAAGAGCCCCGGAGCGCCGUACCCGAUGUCUUCUUCCUCCUCGGGCCACUGAGAUCGCCGGCGACCUCCCGUCGUCACAAGCCCCUCCCUGGGCACGCCGAGGCCUCCGUUUAACUCACGGUGAGCUUCUGCGUCUUUCCCCUUCCUUACCGGGCCCGUUCCUGUCCUGUAGUCGCUGAUUCCACCGGAGCCGCGAGCUCGGCUCCGCCGGCCAUGUCGCCGCCGUGGCCACCGUCACCUAGAGCUACCACCGAGCGCACCGACGUGCUCAGCACAAUGCCAGAAGACCAAAAACCCCUCCAAUUGCUCCUGUCGUGCAACGCAACGCCGAAACCGCUGAGACCCGAACUCCGGCCGCCGCCUUUGAGCUCGCCGCCGUCGAUAUAGAUCGCCCCCGGCUUAACUGACUGCACCACUCGACGCGCGGGAACUUCAGCGUCACGUAGAUGCCCUCCGCCGGCCAUUUGGUCGCCGGAGGAGGAAUUACGAUCCCCUCCGCCGUCUCGGGCUCCACCGGUGACGAGCCGUGGACCAAGUCCGGCGGGUUUGACCCGCUGACCGUUGACUGGGUGGGCCCAGUUUGACCCCUGGGUCACUGAUGUGUGGGCCACCCUUGCUAAUUUUAGUUAGAUUAGUUUAGCACUAAUUAACCUAGGUUAAUGACUAACCUAACACUAACUAACUCUGUUUAGUUAGUCAACUAACCACUGACAUGCGGGCCCAGGCCCCAUUGACAGUUUAGUUAGUAUUAACUUAAUCCUGUUAGCUAGCGUUACAUUGACAUGUGGGUCCCAGCGUCAGGGUUGACCUGGACCGCGCCCGUUGACCGCUGACAUCACAGUGACGUCAUGCUGACGCAAUAAGCUAUUUUCUGGAUUUAUUUUAAUACAGGAAAUUCCAGAAAAUCUUGCAAACUUCAAAAAUUCAUAGAAAUUAAUCUGUAACUCCAAAUGAAAUAAAUUAUAUAUGAAAAAUGAUCAGAAAAAUCCAAUCUAUCCAUCUGUACCAUUUUCAUGCAUGUUAGAACAACUUAUAGCUGCUGUUUAGCACAAAUCAUAUAAAUGGCAUUUAAAUAUCCACAUAUGGAGUUUGAAUUUGAAUCUAGGGUUCAAACCAACGUCAUUUAACUUGCUGCUAGUUGCAUUAGCUCAAACCACAUCAUAUUGCCAUGUCAUGAUCAUGCAUCAUAUUGUGCAUUGCAUUGAUUGUGCUUCUUCUUUGUUUGUCGGUGCUUGUCCCCUCUCACUAAGACGUGUACCAACGAUGUGAUCGAUGACACCAAUGAAGAAAUAUACUAUCUUCAGAAGUGCCAGGCAAGCAAAACCCCCUUGUUCAUUCCGAUACAAUCCUACUCUCUUGCUCCUGCUCUCUUUUACUGCAUUAGGACAACAAUGAUUCAUCUGUUACUUGCUGCGGUAGCUGAACCCCUUUAUCCUUUGCAUGACCUGUCAUUGCCACAGUAAAUAGAUGAAACCCACUAGCAUGAGUAGGAGUUGUUUGAGCCCUGUUGUGCCUACUCAUUCAUGUUUGUCUGUCAUGCCUGCUAUUGCUUAGAGUUGAGUCAGGUCUGAUUCAUCGGGAAUGAAUCAGAGGUGUGUGAACAUGUCCUACUGCGUGUGAGCUAAGUGUGUGAACACGAUUUGGUAAAGGUAUCGGUGAGAGGCCAUGUAGGAGUACAUGGUGGGUUGUCUCAUUGAAGCCGUCCUCAGGAACUGAGUUCUGUGUUUGUGAUCCAUGAUUCAGCUACUACCAUGCAUUGGGCCCUGAAAUAUGACCCCGCUCGACUUCUUAUUCACCCUAGUCCUCUGUCCAGGAGUUGCAAGUAGUUUCUGGUGUUUGUAGUAUGCUGGAGGCCGUGCGCAGCGCUGACCGUAGGGGUGGGCUGUGAUGCGGUAAGCACGUGGCCGGGUAAACCGGGCGCCCGUUUGGUGUCAUGGAACCAUGUUCACAUCGUUUGGGGUUGUGAGCGAAACUUCGGCCAGAUCUCCUCAUGGAUGGAACCCGAAUAGGCGAUAAACCUGGACUAGAGACUUGAGUGUUUAGGUAGGUCGUGGUCUACACCCACGUCGGCUUUCGCUUGAAGUCUGCCGAGCACAUGUCGUGUGCAGACGCUAAGUGGUGGAAACAUGUAUGAAGAAGGGCACCCCUGCAGGGUUAAUAUGAUCUAUUCGAAUAGCCGUGUCCGCGGUAAAGGACUUCUGGGUUGCCUAUAACAGUUCAUAGACAAGUGAAAGUGAAUACUCUAAAAUACGCAAGAUAAGUGUGAGUGCUAUGGAUGGCGUUCUCGUAGGGAGACGGGAGCGGAUCCAUAGUGGUGUAUUGAUAUGGUGAAUAUGUGGACUCGUGUGCGCCACCUCAAAGAGUUACUUGCAGUCGUAGUUUAGGAUAGCCACUGAGUCAAAGCUGGCUUGCUGCAGUUAAACCCCACCAUCCCCUUUGUUGAUAAUGAUGCAUAUGUAGUUAGUUCUGAUGUAAGUCUUGCUGGGUACAUUUGUACUCACGUUUGCCUAUUUUAUGUUUUUGCAGAGAGACCUCGGUCUCGCUGGUAGUUCCGCGUGGACUUCGACGUUUAGCUUGUUACCUCAGCUACGAUCUUGUGCCCUCGGCAGGAUCUGGUAGAUAGUCAGGCUUUUCAGCUUUUUUCAUUUGUAGAUGUCUGUACUCAGACAUGUUAAGCUUCCGCUUGUGCUUUGAUUUGUAUGCUCUGAAUGUUGGGUCAUGAGACCUAUGUUUGUAAUAUCUCGCUCCUCAGAGCCUAAUGAAUAAAUACUUGAGUCGUAGAGUCAUGUUGUGAUGCCAUGUUGUAUUUGCACAUAUCGAGCAUAUUGUGUGUAUGUUAUUGAAAUGCUUGGUAUGUGUGGGAUCUGACUAUCUAGUUGUUUAUCUUUAGUAGCCCCUCUUACCGGGAAAUGUCUCCUAGUGUUUCCACCGAGCCGUGGUAGCUUGCUACUGCUCCGGAACACUUAGGCUGGCCGGCAUGUGUCCUUCUUCGUUCCUGUGUCUGUCCCUUCGGGGAAAUGUCACGCGAUGAAUACCGGAGUCCUGUUAGCCCGCUACAGCCCGGUUCACCGGAGUCUUGCUAGCCCAGUGCUACAGCCUGGAUUCACUCGUUGAUGACCGACACAUUCGAUGCUGGGUCAUGGAUGCCUGUCCCUGUAAGUUUGUGCCACUUUGGGUUUACGACUAGCCAUGUCAGCCCGGGCUUCUUAUCAUAUGGAUGCUAGCGACACUAUCAUAUACGUGUGCCAAAAGGCGCAAACGGUCCCGGGCAAAGGUAAGGCGACACCCGUGGGGAUACCGUGCGUGAGGCCGCAAAGUGAUAUGAGGUGUUACAUGCUAGAUCUAUGUGGCAUUGAGUCGGGGUCCUGACAUAGCCCAUUUGCGAUUUGUAAGAAUGUACAACCCAUUUUUUAAUUCUAAUGGAAUUUACUGCAGCCCAUUUACAGUUUGUUAAAAGUACAUCCCAACUUCUAGCUAGGGCAAUGAUUAAUAAUUUCAAACAACCGCUCAAAAUAGAAUUAAAAAAAAUCCCACAUUUUGAUGGGAUCCGAAAUAUUUUUAUCCGAAAUUUCUAGUCAGGUUAAAUAUAAUUUCAAAAUAAAGUUGUAUUACGUUAAAAUCCAACGAAAUAUUAUGCGCGCAACAAGUAAUGAAAUUAAAAUUUUCAAAUUCCAAAAAUAAUAUAUUUUUUAAACUAAUUACGCGUUCUGUGCACAGUUACUGCCCAGUUAUUAUAAUUACAUAUCAUUUAUUAUUUCUUAAAGUCCAUUUUCUUGUUAAGCCUAAUGCAUACCUCCUAGGAAAGUUUGCAGCCCAGCGGGGCGGAGAAUAACAAGUUGACCCGGAUAUUGUGUACAACUGUCGGCCCAGUUGCAUUGCUGAUGUUGAAAAAAAAGGCCUGUGUAGUACAGUACAACCUAACAUGGCUACUCAGCCCACAUUCAGCGACGCCGGAAAGGCCCAAACAAGGCUUCUGUACAACUUUUUGAAGUCACUGAGCUCAACUAAUAACUUAAGAAAAAAUUUAGAUUACAGUGGAACCUAAUUAAAAGCUGUCACGAGCAAAUAAAUAAUUCAACGGGUCCCACCUGUGCGUGUGUGCGUGUGUGUGUGUGUGUGUGUGUGUGUGUGUGUGUGUUUGUGUGUGUGUGUGUGUGUGAGAGAGAGAGACCCAUCGGUCGAUGCUUGUAAAUAGAUCUUUCAGCCAUAUGCAUUGCUGAUGCUCAGUAAAAACUUAUAUAGUUGACACAAUCAUAUAGAACAUCAUAGCACACUGAACUUGCAUACAAAAAUUUCACGCAGGCGGCACAAUUAGGAUGGAAGCAGUGGAUCGCUACUGGUAGGGCUAUGUUGAAACCAACGAAGUCGUACAUAUGGUUCAUCGUCUUUAUCAAUGACGGGGAAAUAUCUUGAAUGUUGUGCAAAGAAAACAGACAGACAACACAAUAAGUUCUGCUAGCACAUUAAGUUGAUGUACAACCCUUUCAAAAAAAGUUCAGGUACAAAAUUAGAACAGGUCACAAUCAAAUGUACUGGCAUAUCAGUGCUUCACACCCAUAGCUCGGAUUUAACUAGUAUCUGACAAGAUUUAGUUGUUACCUCAAAUUAGAGCACAUCCAGGCAGCCAGCCCUGCCUCUUCUCCCAAAGAAGCAGUGGCCUCCGCUGCACAAUGGAGUAGGCCCUGUGCCAUCCAUCGUUCCGAGCAACACGGGGAAAGUCUGACGUUGACUCCUGUAAUGGACGUCAUCGACAGACCUUGGCACCAGCAGCGGCGGUAGGACUUCGAUUGAUGGAUUGACCACUUCUUCGACAUGCACGAACACUCGAUACAGGUACGUCCCUAACGUGGUCCGCGGCGGCCUUGGUGGUGACGAAUAGUACAACCCUGGUUCCUGCACCUGUAUCUCAACACCAAUCACCUUCGGUAUGGUGGACGGCUUCUUCAUCCAUGCCACAACCGUCAGAGCCCAGCUAUCUGGAGGAACAAACAUACUUACGAGCUCACCUCCAAGGUCGUUGAUAAGCUCGUUCAUGGACUCACUAUUCCAAGCAUGUCGAGGCAUCCCGUGGAAGGUAUGCUUUGUUAAAAACUCAAGCUCAGAGGGCACCGAGCCCCAUCCUGGGUGCCACCGAUCAAAGCUCACCAGCGCACCAUCGCAGAACAAACGCCGGGAAGAUUCGAACACACGACUACAGUCGAAAGUUGUCCGGAACCUGAUGAAGAAAUCAGCCGGUGGCAGAUAGAUUUGACACGCAAGUCACUUAUUUGGAUGUCAUGCACAAUGCCAAUAGAUUUGACAAGGUCGUCCGGCAAGACGGGAGGCUGUUCGUUGUUGAUGGUCACGAUCAGCACUUUGCCGGCAAACUGGUCGUCAAGCGGCGCCAUGCUACUGUUGAGCGACAGCAUGCAACGACCGAAGACAGGACGGACCUCAGGAUCUCCGGCUUGGAUAUCUGCGUUGACCGGUGACAUGAUAGUGCGCUUGAGUACAAGGAGUACAGGAGGGGCAUUUUGGGGAACUGGAGUAGGAAUCAAGAUUCCAGAGGUGGGGGAGACUGGGGAUGAAAAGGUAGCAUGAAUUUCGAGCACGCGCCAAUAUGCUCUCGGCGCGCAAGCGCACGAAAACACCGGUGGCACCCACAUGUCGGCCUAAGAGUCCUUAUUCUUUCUUUUUUGAGAGCCCGGCCUAAGAGUCAUAAUUGACCUGUUUGGCAUUCCGUUACUACUCGGCCCAUAUUCAACGACACCUCACUGGCCCAAACAAGUGUACAUCAUCGAAAAGACUGAGGGAGUCCUGGAUUAGGGGGUAUCCGGACAGCCGGACUAUAUACAUCGUCCGGACUAUUGGAGCGUGAAGAUACAAGACUCAAGACUCUGUCCCGUGUCCGGAUGGGACUCUCCUUCGCGUGGAAGACAAGCUUGGCGAUCCGGAUAUUAUGUUUCCUUCCUUGUAACCGAUUCCGUGUAAACCCUAGCCCUCUCCGGUGUCUAUAUAAACCGGAGAGGUUGGUCCUUAGAAGGCCGAUCACGAUCACAAUCAUAACCAUCAUAGGCUAGCUUCUAGGGUCUAGUCUCUACGAUCUCAUGGUAGAUCUACUCUUGUACUACUCAUAUCAUCAAUAUCAAUCAAGCAGGAAGUAGGGUUUUACCUCCAUCAAGAGGGCCCAAACCCGGGUAAACAUUGUGUCCCUUGCUUCCUGUUACCAUCAGCCUAAGACGCACAGAUCGGGACCCCCUACCCGAGAUCCGCCGGUUUUGACACCGACAUUGGUGCUUUCAUAGAGAGUUCCUCUGUGUCUCCGCUACAAGGCUUGAUGGCGCCUUCAAUCGUCAACAACACGGUACAGGGUGAGACUUUUCUCCCCGGACAGAUCUUCGUGUUCGGCGGCUUCGCGCUGUGGGCCAAUUCGCUUGGCCAACUGGAACAGAUUGAUAGCUACACCCCUGGCCCCCAGGUCAGGUUCGGAAACCUGAACUACACGGCCGAUAUUCGCGGAGACUUGAUCUUCGACGAAAUCGGGCCUGUGCCAGGAGCGCCGGACAGUCACGAUGAGCAUGACUUAGACCUGUUGUCGGACAAUGCUUUGGAUGUCACCCCUGCAGUAGCCCCGAACCUAAAUCCGCAGCAGACCGCAUGGCCCAAGGGCGGGUGGAUAGACCUCUCCCAGCAGGCCGCACACUCAUCGGCGGUAGAGCCGAACACAGGCCUCACCUCUAAGGAAGCCUGUGACUCCGGACCCCCGGACUCGACUCCGGUUGUAGGUUUAGGUCCACGCGCUCCCGAGCCCGCCGAGCCUGGUUGGGCUCCGGUAACGGAGUUUACCGCUGCAGAUAUCUUCCGGCACUCGCCCUUUGGCGACAUGCUGAACUCGUUAAAGUCUCUCUCUUUGUUAGGAGGCUCUUGGCCGAACUAUGUCCGGCUCGAGUGGGAAGCAGGCGAUGAAGGAAUUCGUUGCCCACCCACCACCCACUUCAUUGCCACGAUCGAUGAUCUAACUGACGUGCUUGACUUCAACUCCGAAGACAUUGACGGUAUGGACGACGAUGCAGGAGAAGACCAGGAACCACCGCUCACAGGACGGUGGACAGCCACCCCGUCGUACGAUAUAUACAUGGUGGACACGCCUAAGGAGGACGACGGCGACAAUCCGGAAGAUAAAACCUCCAAGCAAAAAAGCAAAGCGACGGCGCAGACGCCGCUCCAAGUCUAGCGACAGUAAAAAUAGCGACAAGAGCGCCAGAAAGAUCGACACCCCAGUGAACUCCUAAGGCAACAACGACCAUACGGACCCAGCGAUUGAGCAGGACGAGCCAGGUCACGCCAAACACAGUUCGGAGCAGACGCCCGAUCACAAUGAUCCCGAGGGACGAGUUCAUGAAACCGCCCCAGGACAAGAACACAGUCCGGAUGACGAUGAAUUCAUCAUCCCAGAAACAUACGUGGAACGAGAUAACCUCCACAGAAGGCUCACGGCCACCAUGAGAAGUCUAAAGAAGCAGAAGCAACAGCCAAAUGCCGCAUAGGAAACGCUCAAUCGUAGAUGGAAUAAAGUGCUAGACACUGAAGAAAGAUACGGCGACGAUCGCCAUACAAAGAGCUAUCCAAAAUGCAAGCUACCGCCAGAAUUCGACGACGAGGCUGUUCCACCAAAGAACAACACGACAAGGAGGCCAGACGUACCACUUCAUAACCGCAACAGAGCAGCUACCGACGCCGUGCACGAUUUAUGUGAGCACCUGGAUAAGAAAGCCGGCGCGGCCAGGUCCAUCUACGGAUCUAAAGGACACACCCUGGUGCAGGACUAUGGUUACCAAAAUGAUCAUACCAAUCGAAUACCAGUUCAGAAUAAACGCCGGACACAACAACAACAGCAGAUGACAUGCCACAGCACGUCUAGAUACAGAGGGGCUACUCACCCCCUGUGCUUCACCGAAGAAGUACUGGACCAUGAAUUUCCAUAGGGUUUUAAACCUGUGAACAUAGAGUCAUACGACGGAAUGACAGACCCAGGGGUCUGGAUCGAGGAUUUUAUCCUGCAUAUACACAUGGCUCGUGGGGAUGACCUCCACACCAUCAAAUACCUUCCCCUCAAGUUGAAGGGACCAGCUCGACACUGGUUGAAAAGCCUCCCCGAAAAUUCAAUUGGGAGUUGGGAGGAACUCGAGGAUGCUUUCAGGGCCAAUUUUCAAGGGACUUAUGUCCGGCCUCCGGAUGCGGACGAUUUAAGUCACAUAAUCCAACAGCCCGGAGAGUCCGCCUGCAAGCUUUGGAACAGAUUCCUCACUAAGAAGAAUCAAAUUGUCGAUUGUCCGGAUGCCGAAGCCUUAGCGGCAUUCAAACACAGCAUCCGCGACAAGUGGCUCGCCAGACACCUCGGCCACGAAAAGCCAAGGACAAUGGAAGCCUUAACAAGCCUUAUGACCCGCUUUUGGGCGGGUGAAGAUAGCUGGUUGGCCCGUAAAGGCACCAGCAACCCAAGCACAUCCAAAAUAAGGGAUGGAAAUGAGAAGCCACGGCGUAAUAAAAACAAACGUGAAAACAAGGAAGAGAGCCCAGACAACACAACGGUCAACGCCGGAUUCAGGGGCUCUCGACCCGAUCAGCAAAAGAAGCCAUUUAAAGGCAGUAAAGAGGGACCGUCCGGUCUGAACAGAGUCCUGGAUAGACUGUGCCAAAUUCAUGGCACCCCCGUCAAACCUGCGAACCACUUGCACAGAGAGUGCUAGGUCUUCAAGCACGCCGGCAAAUUAAAUGCCGAACACAAGGGAAGGGAAACACCAAGUGAAGACGAGGAUGAACCUCGCUAGCCGAACACUGGGGGACAGAAAAAAUCCACACCAGAGGUUAAAACAGUAACCAUGAUCCACGCGACUCACACAUCCACGAGAAGGCACGAAUGCGCGCUCAGAGACGCGUACGCUAUAGAGCCCAUCGUACCCACACCUAACUACCGGUUGGCUUGUCCGAUCACCUUUGAUCACACGGACUGCCUGACUAGUAUUCGGCACGGAGGAUCAGAGGCCUUGGUGCUUGACCCAAUAAUCGACGGAUACCAUCUCACCCACGUCCUCAUGGACAGCGGCAGUAGUCUCAAUCUAAUAUACCAGGACACUGUCCGCGGGAUGAGGAUAAACCCAUCUAGAAUUAGCCAAAGCAACACCACCUUUGAUGGGGUGAUAUCAGGCGUAGAAGCCUACGGCAGGGGCUCCGUCGUACUGGAAAUAACAUUCGGCUCCCCAGGCAACUCCAGAAGCGAAGAACUACUGUUCACCAUCGCACCCUUCCAAAGCGGCUAUCACGCAUUGCUUGGAAGAGCGGCCUUCGCCCGCUUCAAUGCAGUACCACACUAUGCCUACCUUACACUCAAGAUGCCCGGUCCACGUGGCGUCAUCACCGCUAACGGAAGCACAGAGUGCUCUGCACGCGCGGAGGAAUACACGACGGCUCUAGCGGCCGGACUCUAAGCGGCCUCUGAUACCAAAAAGCAUGACUGGUCGUUAAGAUCACGGACACGGUUAGACGAGUCCGGCAGCCCGGAUAAAAAUGAGCCAGGGCGCCAUAUAUGUAAUCCCAUAGAGGACACCAGGGGCUAUAAAUAUUUAAUAAAACCCCACUGUUGGCCUGACCUUAUUUACAGGCCAAUGCCUUACACUUUUACCAUCCAUCGAACGCUUACGUCGUACUCUUUUACACGAGUUUUUCCUUUCUAUAGAUACAAUGCGUGCGAUACCCUUCCAGGAAACGGCACAACGGAGACAAAGGCGCGGACAUGCAGUAGGGCCCUGCUCAAAGGUUUCUCUUUAGAUUAAGCGCCUAUGUAAACCUUUUAUAUUGCCUCUUGUUGUUUACACAUCCCAUGGGUACUAUACCCACAGAGGAUACUGCCGUUAUUAGCAUUUCGCCACGACAGACCGAUGCACGUACAUGGAAAUACAGGGGUUAUAAUGAAAGGGCACUCUUCAGCCAAUUUUCUGCUACCAAGUCCGAAUACCUUCGGGAGUGUUCGGCGUCAUGAGUUUGGCCUUAUAUGCAUCAGCUCCGAAUCAUGUCUUUGGUCAAAUGUUGGGUUUGCCCGGCUCCUGGGUUUGUCGCCUUACGUUCCGUUCUUAUCGGCUAAGGCAGCCAAAGGAGAACUACUGCGAUUGUGCCCUGGUUUUUCCGGAUGAGCACCUCAGUAGAGAAAGCCAAAAACUGACUGUCAUGAUACGGCGAGAGACUGAUCAACCACUCGAAGACUUACCGGAAUCUUUAGGAUUCCUCCGCAUUAACGAAGGACCGUUUCCCGGUCAUGUACACACGCGCCCGUAUUCGGAUGCACCCAAAAGUACUAGGGGCUACAUAGUAGCCCCACCGUCAAACUCCUAUGGCUAAGUGAAAGUGUUACAACUAUAUAGUCUAGUUCCCUAGUUCAACAUGCGAUCACCUCCUUAAUGGACCAAGACGUUGGAUCAAGUGUGAUUAUGCAUAUUUUCGCGAACGCCCCCGCAUUGUAUGCGUGGGGGCUGAAGCCAAUGACUGCUAACUUUCAGAAUUACACAUAUACAUAAAAACGGACGCACAGGAGGCACAAAUAAUACUUUCGGGCAAUAAGUAUAAAUACAGCCUCAUAAUCAAAAUAACAUUGUUUUUACAAUGACACGAGUUGUCACUCGAACAUGACAUUCUUCGAGCACUGAGCUUCUAUUAAGCGAGCACCUUCUGUUACCUGCUCCAAGUAGUGCUCGGCCGGAUCCUGGCCUCCCGCCGGAUUCUGGGUCGCAAUGAGGGUGGCCUCCAUAUCUGUCCAAUAUGCUUUAACGCGGGCAAGUGCCAUCCGUGCACCCUCUAUACACGCCGACCUCCUCAUGGCAUCAAUUUGAGAUACGACACCAAGGAAUUGUUGAACCAAACCAAAAUAACUGUCCGGCUUCGGCUCCUUCUGUCAAAGAUGGUCUAUUACAGACCGCAUGGCAAGCCCGGACAGCCUAUGAAGUUUGGCCAUGACAGCCAUCUUCUCACUCAACGGCAAUGGGCGCGCAGGAGCAUUGAAUUGGGACCAGAACAGCUUCUCCACUUCUUUAUCACCUUGAUCCUCGAAAAACUUGGCGGCAUCAGCUGUACUCUUCGCCAAGUCCGCAUAAGCAUCUGCAGGACUCCAGCGUCGAUCCAGGAGAGCAUACUUCAGAUCCAAAAACUUCAUCCGCAGUAAGUAGGAGCCCCCGGCCAUGAUUUUUCCGGCCUGUCGAAGCUCCUCCCGCACAUCCCUGAUUUCGGUCCGCAUCUCCUUGGCCGCAUUAAGUGCCUUGUUCAGGUCAGCCGAAUUAACCUGAUUCUCCUUUUCAAGGAGCUCAUACCGGUCGGCGGCAUUUUUCAACUCCACAGCCAGUUUGGCUAUCUUGUCUUCGCUUCGGCUAUGAGAAGCCUGUUCGGCUCUCAACUCUUCGGCCGCCUUUAGGGCAGCCGCAUUACUAGCACGAGCUUGUUCCUUGGCCUGGGCAAGUUCCGCCCUCAGGGCUUCCACGGCAGCAGCACCAUCUACAGUCCAAGCAUGUCGCAUUAAUAUUAUGCCCCUCUCAUAUUUUCCUAUACAACAUAAUAAGGAAAGCAGAGCACAUACCUUGUGACUCGUUCAGCCGCACGUUCACCAGCGUGAUAUCGGCAUCAAUAGAUCCGAUCUGCCUCCUUAGUUCGGCAACUUCAACGGACUGGUCUGCUGCCGGACCCUUAGAUACCUGCGCAUAUGUACAACGUAAUCAUUAGUUACGAAAUAUGAUCCUCCGUUUGCCGCCUACGGCGGGAAACUAGAGUCUCAGGGGCUACUAUGCAUAUGGAGCACACCUAGCGCGUGCCUCGCAGCCAAAAAAUCGUGCAUUUUUCACAACAUACCUCAAAAACUCUGAGCAGGCUCGUAAAUGCUUCAUUCAAACCGCUUGUGGUGGAUGAAAUCUUCUUGAGCACCGUGCUCAUUAAUGAGCGGUGCUCCUCCGAGAGCGCAGCUCGCUCCAGAAGGCCCAUCAGUAUGUUCGGCCGGACACUGAACUGUGUCGGACCCUUCUCGUCACCCCUUGUGGGAGCCGAACGCUCCGGGCUCAGGGCGACUGAAGGAUUAGCCUCUGGCUUUGGCAGAUCCGGACUCCUCCAUGACGACACCUCGGUGUCGCCCGCCACAUGAGGCGGAGAGGCUGGUGUGGUCUCACUCAACAUCAUCUCCGGAGGAAGAUCCCCCGAAGAUAAACUCUUUUGAGAAGAGCUGCUAGCCGGACUGCAAAAUGGAUCCUGGUUAGUGUACUCGGAGAAAAGUAGUACCUUUGAAUUUACAGGUAGCUUACAGCUCGGUGGAGGGCUGGCCCGUUGGCGGGCAUGACGCAGUAAGGACGCCCUUCGGGGCAGGGCCCCCUGGUGACGCUUUCUUCCCCUGCUUUGGCACUUCCGUCUCCAAGUCUUCGGAGGCGGCUCUCUUCUUCCCGCGCGGGGAGGAGGCUUUAGACUCCCCUUCCCGACUAUCCUCCUUAGGGGAGGUAGCAAUUCCACCGGUUUGGAUGCGCAGUGUGUGAAGUUCGGUUUCUCUGUUCUUCCCUUCGUCUUUCCCUGAGGGCAUUUUGCUGAGCACCCGGCUAAGCAUCUUGGCAAUGGUUGGACUAGGCGAGCUUUCGGGAAGUGGCACCGGACACCUGAUUCUCUCUGCCUUGCUGAGCCAUUCCUGGCCACGGCGGGUUUUCAGAAUAAUGACUAUGACAAAUAUAAACGAAGUGUCCUGUUUCAAGGUUACUUACUUGGGUAUCUAGGCGAUUGCAGCUUAGGCCCGCAUCCUCGGUGGUGUCCGGACACUUUACUUGUGGUCCGAAGAAUAAUUUACACAUCCCUUCGAGCUUCAGGCCGAAGAAGUGCUUAAUAGUCUAUGGACCCUCUGGAUUGAACUCCCACAUCUGGAGAGGCCGGCGUUUGCACGGCAACAUCCGUCGGAUUAGCAUUACUUGAAUUAUGUUGACAAGGUUAAUGUCCUUCUCAAGAAGCUCCCGGAUACGGCUCUGCAGUAUUGGUACAUCACUAGCGGGGCCCCAAUUCCGUCCUAUGUCGGUCCAUGACGCCAGUUGUGACGGAGGGCCUGAGCGGAAGUCGGGGGCGGCUACCCAUGUUGUGCCUCUGGAAGCCGUGACGUAAAACCACCUCCGCUGCCACACAUCGGAUACUUCUGGGAAAGAACCCUCUGGCCAUGGGGCAUCGGCGUUCCUGCUUAUUAUGGCACCUCCGCACUCCGCAUGUCGCCCCUCGAUCAUCUUCGGCUUCACAUUGAAGGUCUUGAGCCAUAAGCCAAAGUGUGGACUGACAUGGAGAAAAGCCUUGCACACAAUGAUGAACGAUGAGAUAUGGAGGAUAGCGUCCGGGGCUAGAUCAUGGAAAUCUAACCCAUAAUAGAACAUGAGCCCCCUCACAAAAGGAUCAAGGCUGAGGCCCAAGCCGCGGAGGAAGUGGAGAACAAAUACGACGCUCUCGUUAGGCUCGGGAGUCGAGAUGACCUGCCCUGGAGCAGGAAGCCUAUGCUGGAUGUCGACAGUCAGAUAUCCGACCUCCCUAAGCCUCGCAAUGUCCUCCUCUUGGAUCGAGGAGGCCACCCACCGACCUUGAGGGUUGGAUCCGUACAUACUGGAGGAUCUGGGAUGUUUGAGCUUGGGUCUCGGGUGUUAGAACUCGAGAUGCGAAGGGGCGCAAGGGUGGUGGAAAAGAGGUAUAGGCCUCGGCCCCUUUAUAAAGGGGGUGAAUAUCAAGAGUUCUCAGCGUGACCGCUUGAGACUUAUCUAAAAAUACACAGAGUCAUACCAACGGUCAUCGUGGGGUUGCGCACGCCCAUAUUGAUGGAAGAUCCCGUAAUAAGGGGAACAUGAUCUCUGCUUCAGCAGGGCGUGCCAAUAAAACCGCCUCGCAACGCGAGUUGAGGUGGGCCAGGAAACACCGGUUCGUGUUGUGCCGGGCCAUGAUGCAAGGGCCCGACGUGCAAAGAUUGCCUGUGGAUCGGAUUUAUGCUAUGUGAAGAUCAUCUUGCAGACCCGGACACGUUCUAAGUGUUCGAUAAUUACUUUGGAGUAUUCGAAGAUGGAACCCGCCUUGCAAUGCCGAAGACAAGACUGCGCGGCGGACUCAUCGUCACUGAAGCUUGGUUCAGGGGCUAUUGAGGGAGUCCUGGAUUAUGGGGUAUCCGGACAGCCGUACUAUAUGCUUCGUCCGGACUAUUAGAGCGUGAAGAUACAAGACUCAAGACUCCGUCCCGUGUCCGGAUGGGACUCUUUGCGUUGAAGACAAGCUUGGCGAUCCGGAUAUUAUGUUUCCUUCCUUGUAACUGAUUCCGUGUAAACCAUAGCCCUCUCUGGUGUCUAUAUAAACCGGAGAGGUUGGUCCUUAGAAGGCCAAUCAUGAUCACAAUCAUAACCAUUAUAGGCUAGCUUCUAGGGUCUAGCCUAUACGAUCUCGUGGUAGAUCUACUCUUGUACUACUCAUAUCAUCAAUAUCAAUCAAGCAGGAAGUAGGGUUUUACCUCCAUCGAGAGGGCCCGAACCUAGGUAAACAUUGUGUCCCUUGCUUCCUGUUACCAUCAGCCUAAGAUGCAUAGAUCGGGACCCCCUACCCGAGAUCCACCGGUUUUGACACCGACAAAGACACUAAGCUCAAAUUAUAUAACUUGAAAAAAGGAGAUAUACUCUCAACACUGGAGAAUGGUGAUGCCCUCAUUUAGCCCACUAGUAGUUCGAGACAAUAAAUAGUUCGAAACAACGAUAUAUACAACAUUCGAACACUGACUAGUGACUACUACUGACAUAAACAGCAAGACAUGGUAGUUCAUAAGAAGUCUUGCUACACCAUGCACCCAUCUGCAGCGCUCAGAUUCUCGUGAUCCAGACGAGAAUGACAUUCUAAACAGAAGCAACUAUUACAUAGUAAGAGUGACAUAGACGAGGACGACCAAAUGACAAGGAAUAUGCAUAACAAAAGAUAGAACUACCCAUCCAGAACCAGCAGCAAAGACAACAAAGUCAUUCGAAGAGAUGAUCCAACACCAUCAUAAUUUGCAGCCCCGCUUCAGCGACCAGUGAUCCGGAGACACCAGUACUCCACCCUUUCGAUGCAACAGCCCAAUUACCUAUCAACCUGAAGGCUUGAACCACAUCACUGCCUGUCGUAAUUGAGACAUCCAAGGAUCAAAGUUAACCCGGAUGCCUUUGUCAUUCUCACCUUCUUUUGGCUGCAGGCUGUAUCAUUGACAAUCAGGGGACUUUGCUCCCGAAAUCCUAGGGCUUGCCGUGUAGACACAAUUUUCCAUAACAAACAGAGACUCUCUGCCAUCAAGGUCCUUGCCAACGGUGAUCUCCUGGUUAAUCAGAUAAUUGAGUCCGAGAAACAGAGAGUGUGAACCAAGGCUGUUUACCCGCCUCCAACUAAAAAAAUCGUAAAGGCCCCAACAAGUCGGUAUCUUGCUCAUAGACGUAACAGCCACUGGCCGGAUACUCACGUAUUACACGGUGCUUGUAUACAGUGGGUUUUUUGCAAUAUAACUUUUCCGGCUCAUGUGUCCGAAUGGUCAUCAGUCUUUUGCCGUCGUCUGAUCGAGCGAGGAACCAGUUGUGCUUCCCUGUUUUUGGCAAAGGUGGUGUGAUUACAAAGGGCAGUAACUGUAGGGACACUGCAUCAUAUCAAAAAGGAUAGGCAUUGUUAAUGUAAGAUCAACAUUGUUCAGAGUAUGAGUAGGAUAAUGCAAGAAACUACAUUGAUAUGUCCCUGUUGGAACUGGGAAGAAAAUACAGGGAAAUGUAUACUGGGUUCGAAAAUAUAGAAGUGCCAUGCAUGGUUAUACUCAUGUUAUCUCGCAAUCGAUUCUUCACAGGAAACUACCAUGUCAUGCAUGUUAUGUAAUCAUGUUAUGUCCUCACAAACAAAUUCUUCAAGGUAACUAACAGACCACGCAUUGUUAUAUACUCGUGUUCUAUGGGCAAAUUUUUUGUGAGGAUAUUAUUCUAGCCACUGAUUGCUGAAGGGCGAAUAUAGGUAUGUACACAUGGUAAGCAUUGCAGGAUUUUACUACUUCCAAAUAUAGAGUUCUCCAUAUGCACAUUUACUUCCCUAAUGUAUGGUUAGAUGAAACCAACAGUGUGGUGCAUGUUUCUACAUCAGGAAAAUGAGGAAACUAACAUGGCCAUUGAUACACACUCAUAUUUAGUAGUAGUAUAUAGAUUACUAUAAAAUAAGGAUAAUAUCCAUAUAUUCCUAACCGUUUGAUUAUUCAGGGUACAAAUUGGCUGUAAUGACAUGGUCACAAUCGCAUGAAUUAACUCAUUCCAAAUAUAGCUGAUUUACAACAUCUCUAAUACAUUGUCAUAGUUCUACUCAAAUUCUGCUCAAACAGGGAUGUGCCAAUCAUCACAAAAAGUUCAAACAGAGUCAUGGCGUCAUCAUUAACAUGAGAUGGAAACAACUGACACGCGCCGUCCCAGCAAUACGUGGUGCCAUCUGCUUUGUCGAUCGCAUAGAUGAUGCCAUUGUGUUCAAUAGCAUCACAGAAGUGUGUAUCAGCUUUGACAAUGAUCCACUAUGAGCUGAGUUGUCUCCAGCUAAAGAAGGCACCAACAUAAAGAUAGGCAAGUCCACGGUCGAACAAGGCAAUUAGCUUGAAGUCUGCGUAAUUCGCAUGUCGUGUGGGCACUUGGUAGAUUACAAUCUUCUACAAAACAAGGUCCGUCCAACUGACGUGGUAAUCUAGAUGACUUGGACCGCGAUGGUAAAACUCUAUAUAAUCCAACGAAGGAAGGAUAAUCUCAUGGGAGGUCUGGAAGUUCACGAGCACCAACUUUUUACCAUCUUCUCUGAAGGCAGCCAUCCCGUGGGAGUUCAUACGACCCAGUACAUACCUGCCAAGAAGUUUCGGGCGAUGGUGAUCGGAUCGAAGUCAAGGGAAAUGAUGUACGGCAACCCACUACAUACCUGCAAAGAAGUUUCGGCUAAUGGAGAUCGGAUUGAAGUCGAGGGGCAUCAUGUAUGCCUCUGUAUCAUGGUGAGCCAAUCUUGCAAGACCAGAUAGCAGCAAGCAGGGUGUCCUGAACCCACUACAUACCUGCAAAGAAGUUUCGGCUAAUGGAGAUCGGAUUGAAGUCGAGGGGCAUCAUGUAUGCCUCCGUAUCAUGGUGAGCCAAUCUUGCAAGACCAGAUAGCAGCAAGCAGGGUGUCUUGAAAAGCUUAGGCCUUGCUUCGACGAUGGCCGUGUGCAUGUCCCUCGGGCAUGCAGCCAGCCGUAGGGCGCUCAACAUAUCCAUACACGAACAACAGAGGUCGAGGAUGUCACUGGGGAGAUUGCUCCAAUCGCGGAUCAUAUGGAUGCUGCGCGGUUCGCGUUUGGCCAUGGUGGAGUUUGUAAGGUGGGGCUUUUUGGGGGCUUGAUUUAUGGGGGAGAAGGUUGUCGGUGCUGGAGCAGCUAGCGAGGGAAUAGUGGUACUGGGUGAGGCGAGUGAGGCGAUGGUACACGGGGGCACAGUGAGAUGGAGACGGAGACGGAGAAGUAGCUGGAUAUGGAGUGGUGCUAUACUACUAUGGGAGGGGAGAGGGAGACGAGGUGAGGCGCCAAUGUGCUGCACUGCUGCGGUGACAGACUGCACAAUGCACAGGGUGAGGCUGACUUUGGUAACCCGAACACGCCGCCUGGACUAGUGUCAGGCGCAGGGUGUUGUCACUUCACUGUGAGGACUGGAUGAAUAGUAUUUUGACCACCAAGUGUACCACAGUUGUACUACUAUUACUAGUAGGAACAUGAGUACUCCAGUAUUGUAUAGCGGAAAUAGGUCUCCCGUGCUAGCAUGCCUGUUCACUUCAUCGUUCAGGUAUCAUCCAUAUUGCAAGAAGAACCAAAUUCUCGUGCAUGCCCAAUCAACGCCCUGCCGCAAUGCAUGCAGUGGUCAUUCUGGUGCAUGAAGGAUGGCAUGCAGAUCGUUCCACACUUGAGAAGAGGGAAAAUGGAAAGGUAGAACGCGGCAGCAGAGGAAGAGAACGCUGGCUAACGAGGCUGGGAGGGGAUCGAGCAGGAAGUUAAUGCUCCAUGCCUAAAGAUUUUGGGAAAACCUGGUUUUCAUAAGGUGACUUACUCACCUAAACGGAGGGAGUAUUCCUUAACCAGAGAAUGUUGUGUCCCACUCACGCGCCAAUAUCCAUCUGAACCAGCUACAACACAUUUUUUUAUCCGUUUGCAUAGGUCCCACCUAUCAGGAAGGAUGGGCACGCACACGAACAGGUACGACUCAUCAGUCUACCCGCAUAGCCUUUUCGUUUAAUCUACCUAGCCGUCUAAUCAACUGCCUGCACGCCACUUCUCUCAUUUACUUCUCCAUCGGGAACAGAUUUUCCUCGGCUUCUUCACCUCCCCUUCGUCUUCAUUUGCAUCCAAACCCCACUGCGUUCACAUUGUUUUAACCUCUUUAAAUAAUCAUCUGCUACUUCAGUUAUACUAGCCAUCCUAAUUCUCCAAACCAUAGCCCUCCGUUCCAGCGGUUCCAAAUGGCGAAAGAGAUCGAGAUGCAGGUUUUUAGCGUCAAACAUGUCUUCGUCGAAGGCUCGAUGAGCAUAGUUGCCACCGUCACCGUCCACCCAAUGGUUGUUCGGCAGUGGAUCAGCAAUGUAUCCAACUCCAUCGAAAAGGUAGAGACGAGUGUCAUCGGUCUCGACGCAGAGUACAUGGAGCAUGCCCCUGGGAAGAUCCAACGCGCCGUCGUCCUUCAGUUGUGCCUCGAAGAUGAUGUUUUGAUGUACCACAUCAUACACUCACCCUCCAUACCAGGUGAGCUUCAUGAUUUCUUGUCUCAGGAGGACGUAUACUUCUGUGGGGCAGCCAUCGAAGGAGAAAAACAGAAGCUGGAGCCAUACAACCUUGAUUUGAAAAGCAUCGCUGACCUACAAACCAAAAUAAAAAUUCCUGUAGAAGAUUGUGAUAAACAGACACCAUCCCUAUUCGAUGUAGAAAAUUUUGUGCUCGGUACAAAUCUUCAGAUGGGUGAUGAGAUGGUGGCAUUAAGGUCGUCUGGAUGGGAGAAUUAUCCCUUGACAUACGAGCGGAUAAAAUAUGCUACCCUCGAUGCUUGUGUGAGUUUCGAGAUAGCUACAAGGUCCAAAGAGCUUGUUGCGAAGCCGUCUCCCACAGAAAAUGAGAACAAGAAGAAGAAGAAGAAGAAGAAGAAGAAGAAGAAGAAGAAGAAGAAGAAGAAGAAGAAGAAGAAGAAGAAGAAGAAGAAGAAGAAGAAGAAGAAGAAGACGAAGAAGAAGAAGAAGAAGAAGAAGAAGAAAAGGCUGCACCAGCAGGAGGGCAUUAUGGAUGGAUGAACUAUUUCCUCUCUUGUAAAAAAAUUUAUUCCCUCUCGGUGUAUAUUGAUAUAGAUGGACUAUUUUGAUGGUGUGCAUGUCUUUGGAAAAGAGUAGUAGCAUGGGUCCGCUUGACUAUAAGGAACUAUUUAUACGCCUAUAUAGUUUUCUCUGCGACUCCUUCCAGUGAUCGGUAUGCAGUGCAUGUGUCCGUAGACAUGACAGCUUGUCCAUGGAAGUUCAACUACGGCGACCAUCAUGUUUCAUCUCGAGAUUCCCACGAUGCCUCUCCAACCCACAGCACCACGUCCACCGACGUGCGCCUCACCCCUCUCGGCCGCACCGCCCUCUGCCUUUGUGUGCAUGACAUGUGGGCCACCUAAAAUGUGGCGAGCAUCAAGUUUCUACCACAGCCACACGCGAUUCUCACGACACCGUCGAACCCAUGACACCACACGUCCCCCGACCUACGGCUCACCCCUCUUGGCCCCACUGCCCCUCUUCCUUCGGGACCAUUACAUGUGGACCAGUCACCUAUCGGGUCCACAUGUUAUUGACUCAAAGGUAGGUGUAGUAAGGCGCUGAAGCUUAGUCCCGACGGCCCCGAGAGGGAAAUGUAACUCCUGCGCCAGGGCUUUUGGUGCUACCGCUGCACGAACUCGUGCCAAACUCAAGAUUUGUUUCUUUACUAUACAUGCACGCAACGAUUUAAUGGACAUUGUAAUCUCAACAUGUGAUGGGGAGCUCUAAAUUUGAAUUUGAAACUUAUAAAACGAAAAGAUUCAAAACAAAUAAACUGGGAGAGAGGGAGUAUAUCAUAGGAUGUGUACCAUGCAAAAUAAGUCCCCUGGUUUGUCACCGCGAAGAUGCAGUUAGAAAGGAGCACAACGUCUUCGUACUCGUACGGCAACAAAUCGGCCGCAGACAACAUGGUCCACCUUUGACCGCCAUGUGCAAGGUUCAAGCUAUCUUAUUCAAUCUCACCGUGGUUCCAUCGUACCAAUUCAUGUGAUGGCCCUUUGCAUGGUUGAUCCCAAUGUUGGACAAAGGUUCUACUGGAACGGUGUCACCGUUGUAAAUGUUGUGCAAAUUGAUGUUGGUACCCUCCCGUACAUAUGCAAGCCAAUCUCCACUCGCACCGAGCCUAACCUAUGAAAUAGUGGGUAGGGGGAUACCCCCAAGGAAACAUCCUCAUGCGUUCCACGGAACAUCAAGAUGCAUUUGUAUGAGUAGUUUAUUUUGUGAGAGAAAAGGAUGAAUGAGGGAAGGCCUCUAGAGAUAGAGAUAGACACUACUACUACCAAUGUGCUGGCCCGUGCGUUGCAAUGGAUCCAAAGUAGUAGAAUAAUACUUUUUCACGUGCUUGAAAUAUAAACACUCUAGUUUUGAUAUACAUGUGACAGCAGACAUGACAGCUUGUCCAUGGAAGUUGAACCACGGCGACCAUCACGUUUCUUGUUUCUACCACUACCACACCCACACGCGAUUCCCGCGAUGCUGCUCCAACCCACGGCACGACGUCCCCCGAUGUGGACAUGGAUCCUCUGACGUGGCUAUCACUGCCUUGCCCUGCCUUUCCUUCACUGACAGGUGGGACCCACGCUUGUGGGUCCCACAUGUCAGUGACAGAAUGGUAGGAUUGUUCGCGUCAGGGUAUCCUCAUCCCCUCGACAUGCCCCUCAUCCCUCUCGGCCCCACCGCUCCUUUGCCUUUGUGUGCAUGACGGGCCAGCUGAACUGUGGCAACCAUCAACUUUCUACCACAGACACACCCGAUUGGACGCGGUUUGCCUGCUCCGCUGCUGUGCUCCGAUCCGUACUCCCGCACCAUCGAAUUUUCAUCCAGCGGCUGUGACACAUUUCGUCCCGGGCAUCAAUCCUCAGCUGGAGUACUUCUAUACUAUAGGUAGUACCCGCCGGUGUGGCCAUCUACGCCUCGUAACGCCCCGACGCCCAGCUGUAGCACCCUCGCCACGGCCACGCCACCACCGGUCGGUUCAUCUCGAACGAGUGAGUCGCGAACCACGCCACCACCAUGAUAAUGACAUGUGGGCCAGCCGCAUUUAAGGUCUGCAUGUCAUUGACUCAUAGGCCGAGCACUAAGCCACUGAAGUUCGGUCCCGUGGGCCCCGAGAGAGAAAUGUAACUCCUGCGGCAGGCCUUGCGGUGCUCCCGCGGUACGAGCUCGUGCCAAAACUGGAAUUUGUUUCUUACUACUACCAACUAGUACUAGUAAGGUACACGUGCAUUGCACGCAUGAGAUUCUGGUGGUUUGUGCAUUAUGCUUCUACAUGUGGAGUUUUCUAGAUUCUACAUGUGGCAAAAUCUGGUGGAAUGUAGAUCAUAUCCAACGGCAAGUAGUGCUCAGAUUUGCCAUCUUUGUACUGUCGGAUUGGCUUCAUCCAAGGACCAACUUUCAAAGUUAUUCACACACUAUAUAGGGGUAUAGAUAUAGAUAUAUAGAUGUUUGGUAUGCAGCCUAAGGUUGCCAUGCCUAAUCUUAGGUGUGACACAAUAUCUUAGGCAUGUGUUUGGUUCAUUGCUACACUUGUGGCUUGCCACACUUUUCUAGCUACAUGGUCCACAUGUCAUAGACUCAACUUCUUGCCAAAUCUUGCCACACUUGUGGUUCCCAUUUUGUUAGCCACAUUUUUUGUGGUAGACAUAGGGGUUGUUUGGUUUUAGGCCUAGCAAUGCCACACUUUAUCAUACAAUGUUGCCAAACUUGCCUAAGGUUAGGGGUUGUUUGGUUAGUAGGGCUGUUUGAAUUGUGACUAUCUUUGCCAUAUAUUGCCACAUGAUUUUUGCCACACUUGCCACACUUGCCUUAGUUGAGUUGCUUUGGGCCAGUUUGGUUUGCAUCCUAAGGUUUCCACGCCUAAGCUUAGGCAUGCCACAAUAUCUUAGGCAUGUGUUUGGUUCAUUGUCACACUUGUGGCUUGCCAUACUUUUCUAGUUACAUGGUCCACAUGUCAUAGACUCAACUUCUUGCCAAAUCUUGCCACACUUGUGGUGGCCAUUUUGUUAGCCACACUUUUUGUGGCAGCCUCACUUUGCCUAAGCUUAGUGGUGGCAAAGUUAGUCAUGAACCAAACAGACCCUUUAGCCACACUUUGGCUUGCCUAAGGGAAUCUUGCCACAUAGUUAUUUGUGUUUAUGACAUGUGGGGCUCACUGCUCAUAAAAAAAUCUUUGCCUUAGGUGUGUCUAGAACCAAACACCUACCUAACUUGGUCAAACUUGCCUAAGGUUAGUUGUGGCAAAGUGUGGCAAGGUGUGGCUAGGAACCAAACAGCCACUAAGAUUGCCAAAGAUUACCACACAUAAGGUUAGGCAAGUUUGACUAACUUAGGUGAGUGUUUGGUUCAAGCCACACCUUAGGCAAGCCACACUAAGGCCCCGUAUGACAUACACACAAAAAUGUGGCAAGAUUCCAUUAGGCUUGCCAACUUGUGGCUCUCAUUUUGAAGAACUAAUAACUUGGCCUAAGCUUAGUUGUGGCAAAGUUAGUCAUGAACUAAGUUCAACCAUGGAGUCUUCUAGAUUAUACAUGUGGCAGAAUCUGGUGGAUGAUAUCCAACAGCCAGUAGUGCUCGGAUUUGCCAUCUUUUUACUGUCGGAUUGGCUUCAUCCAACGACCAACUUUCAAAGUUUUUCACGCACUAUAUAGGGGGUAUAGAUAUAGAUGUGUCGGUCCGUUGCAAUGGAUCCAAAGUAUAUAUAUUUAGUGGAGUGCACUCUAAACACAUUAUCUAUUUAUUUUUCUCUAACCUUUCGUAGCCAUGCAACCAAGCCACAUAAGCUUCAUGGGUGCCCCCCACAUCAUAUUAUUCAAACUACGUUGAUUGAAAAAAAGAUAAAUCACCCAAAAACAUGAUCUUCCCGUUUUUUGUUCCUACGAUGUUGUGUUGUGCACAUACCUACUAGUUGUAUAGUGGUAGUACUAGUAAUAUAGUAUUAGGAGUACAAACUUGGUACUAGUAGGAGUAGUACUAGUACGGAAUGCUCCUACUCUAUCAACGAGCCCCAUCUGACACAAAAUUUCUUGGCUUCUGUGCUACAGCUAGAUCUUCCCCUCGUUUCUGUUUUCCAACCCGGCGACGGGCGGGGUGCGGUUUGCCAAUAGUCGGUUUGCUCAACGGCGGUCCCACAUGAAAGUGAAAAUGCUAGGCAACACGCCUUCCCUAAGCUAUGUGGCGUGCCGGACGGACCGUGGAGUACUCCCGAUUCCCGGGCGUGUGGGGGUGCGACGUGAAUGCGGCAGGCCUUUUCCUUUUACUAGCAAUGUGCCUGUGCGUUGCAACGGAUCCAAAGUAGUAGAAUAGUAGUAUUUGUUCACAAACUUGAAAGAAAUCACUCUUGUUUUGAUAUACUCCUAAUAUAUUAUUCCCUCCGCACCUAAAUAUUUGUCUUUUUAGAGAUUUCAAAUGGACUAUCACAUACGGAUUAUAUAGAAAUAUUUUAGUGUUUCUAGCAAGAUGCCCGCGCGUUGCAUGAAGCUGAUGGAAGAGGUAAGCACAACUUAUAAAUCAACGGAUGGAGUACUAGUUACAGUGAUGCAUAUAAUUAAGCAAAGGUAUCGCACAUGUCGGUAUUGACUAGAAUGAGAAUGCAACAUCACGAUAAGAAUUAAGGCCACGAUGAUGCGAUCGCAGUGGUGGUUACAGAAGGCAAGAUGAAAGAUGGAUCCAUGAACGUACGGCCUCCUCCUCCUCAACUUAGUGCGUUGGGCCACCGACCGAUGGCUAAGGAGCGGUGGCUUUUGUGGCAAGGCCGAGGUGCUUCUCAGCAAAGGCAUCCAAGGCUUCCAUCCGGUUGAGGAAGGCCAACGCCGUAGUGUCCUCACUGGCCUUGUAGAUACCUAUCUACACGAUUUGCUCGUACACGUGGAUGUGUAGGUCGACGAAUUCUUGCAGGACGAGGCGCCUCGCGGCGAGCGUGGCCUCCAGGUGGACAUUCUUCAUGGCGUUGGCGGGCAGUCGCAGGUCCACCAGUGCUUGAAAGAGGUUCCGGGCAUGGAGGCCGAUUAGGGUGGCAGGUAAUGAGGAGCCUGGGCGCGCGGGCUGGAGGAGUACGGCGAUGCUGUUCGCGAGCUUCUUGAGGACGGUGAACUUGUUGCUGGUGGCAACGAUCAUCUGGUCCAACUGAGAGUCGUAGUUGGCAUCGACGGCGGCCAUCCACUAGCCGGUCUCCAACACCGUCUGGAGACGAUCCUCGGCGCCAUGCCGCAGGCCGGCGUCGUGGACCAUCUGGUACAGCGGCUGGUCGCUCACGCGCAUCGCUGCCAUGGGUCUGGAGUGAGCUCUUUUGCGCUUAGUGUAGGUGCUUAAGCAAAUGCUUAGGUGCGUACGAUGUGGUAGAUGCAUUGGAAUGGAGGGGCGCCUUUAUAUGAGCGCAAUGAGGGCAAACUGUGUUGCAUUCACAUCGUGCAGCCUCUUUUCCCGGACCUCCUCCCAUUACUUCCCUCAUGCAUUAAUUAAAGGAGGAUGCAUUGGUCGUUCAACAUUUCAGGAACCGCUACUCCCUCCCUCGUCUGCAUUAAAGCCGUAUCAGGAACUGCACCGCCCGCUGUCAAAUUGAAUACUCCCUCCGUCUAGGUGAGUAUUAAGUCAUCUUAUGAAAACCAAAUAGUAAAGACAUAGGCGUGGUGCAUUAACUCUCACGUUGUUUCUUAUUUUUUUCACAUAAAUAGAGGAAUCAACCAAUAAGAGAUGUGGGGCUUGUAUGCUUUUAAUGACUUGAGACUAUCAAACAUGGCAUGCAGUGGUUAGUUCGUUGCACGCAAUGAUAUUAAUAAGGGAGUACCUAGAACUCAUCUAGAUGAGAUAUAAUUAGUUCUCAUCCAUUUUGAAAAAAAGAACAAAUACAACCCACGUCAGCACACAUGGAUCGUAUAGCAUCACAUCCAAUGGCUAUAAAAGAUGAAUGAGACCAAAUUGUAUCUCAUCUAGAUGAGUUCUAGCAAAACUGUAUUAAUAAUACUUAGUAUCAUAUAUUAGUAUCAUGUAGUACUUUAUUUAUUGCCAUGUAUGACACAUAGUACUCAACUCUCUCUCUUUCUUCAUUUAAUUCUAUGACACCUCAUCAAAAUUUCCUAGUUUGCAUGCAUGAUAUAGCUAUGAUACUACCAUUACAACCAACCUUAGCAAAUAAACAUUAAGUUCUCUCGUUUUCCUCUCCACCUUGGUCACCUAGACGGAGGGAGUAUACUGCGCGGGCUUUUCCUGUGCGGUAGGCGGGGCAGUUCCGCCUAGUCAGUUCGACAAAGAAGCGAGGAGAUGAGGGAGUAGGCUGCUGCAAACGUAGGGCUAUGUGAUUUGACAGCGUGUUACUGCUGGACAGGUGGGGCCCUAUGAUUUGACUUGCCAUUAUCAUAUUAACUGCGGUGCUACGACCGGCGUGAGUCUCCCGAUUCCUGACCACCUCCAUACAGGUGCCUCUCCCAAUGCUCCACCAUGUAAUAGAGGCUAGCUCUUGCAUGAGAGCCCACUUCUCCACUUUUUCCUUGCCUCUCUUUCCUCCACAUAUGAAAAAUUGCCAUGUAAAGCGCACUAUUGUACUUACUUGCUCCUACAGGUGCUAAGCUUGCCACAUAGGCAUAAAGUGUGAUGUGGCAAGUUAAUCAAGAAGAGAGGGACUAGUUUGGUGACCCAAGGAAGAAAUGGUGCUAAGCGCGUGUACCUAGGUGAAAAGAAAAUUUUGAGUCUAUAGCUAAUUAAAUGAAGCAAACUUAGCAACAAAAAACUAAUGAGCACACCAUUUCAUUGGAAGAGGUCACUCCUUGGCAAACGCAAUAAAUACUACUCUCUGUGUCCCAUAAUAUAAGAAUGUUUUUGGCACUACACUAGUGUCAAAAACGUUCUUAUAUUAUGGGAUGGAGGGAGUACGAAGAAAGAGAUAGAGAGAAGUAAAAAAAUACACUUAUAGCCAACCUUAUAGCUAACCUUGUUGUAGUAUGAGUGACUAAGUGAUGACUAUGUAUGACAUGCCAACAUCAGAUAGCCUAUCGCACCAUGUUAAAUCUCCAAGGGCGCGACCAUGAUACGGGCUGCUGGCAGCCCUUGGAUCUGAGAUCAAACGGUCGCAUGCUAAGUUGCUGAAAAUUUGGAGAAUAACCCUCCAGGAUAGGAUAUUCACCCAUAGGUCUAGAAUCACGCCAUGCAGCCAUUCGAUCUCAGAUCCAAGGGCUCUCGGAAGCCCGUAUCAUGGGAGAAUGGAAAGCCACUACCCUGCCGUUCGCACGCUGGCAGUUCGCUCCUACUCAUCCCCGCACGUCCUUUAAUACUACGGCGGUUUGCUCCUAGUUGUCCCGUCCUUUCACAUUACGGCAGUUCCACUAAUCCUAACCCUCCUCCCAAAUCCAUGGCGUCCCAAAUCUCCAUGAUCAGCGGUGAGUACAAGGUUAGAACCAUCACCAGCGAUGAGUUCAAAGUCAUCUACACCCGUUCUUCCGCGAUGGUGAAAGGAUGUCUUUCUCGCUUCAGACGCAUGUUCAAAAACUCAGAUGAUGAGUGGGUCGCUGGGCUAGAUGUUGAGUACACCACAGUCCUGGGACGAGAGAAGGAUCUAAAGGACGAAGAGAGGAAGAAGCCCGCCGUGAUCCAGGUUUGCGUGCAUGACUUAUGCUUGGUCUACCACAUAUGCCAUGCCGACGUUGAAUGCCUGGAUUUUAAGAACUUCCUCGAGAGCAACCUAGUCAAAUUUGUUAUUGUAGACUUUAUGAACGACAAAGAAGUCCUGGGUCGGAUAGGCCUUGUUUUAGGCAACCCCUUCGACCUCCAGAGUAAUGGGCUGGUGUCCUCUCGUCAGCCUUCAAUGCUGACCCUGGCAGGAGCCAUGGUUCAUCCUUCGUACCAUAAACUGGAGAAAGAGGGAGUCCUGGAUUAGGGGGUGUCCGGAUGGCCGGACUAUAGCCUUUGGCCGGCCUCCUGGACUAUGAAGAUACAAGAUUGAAGACUUCGGUCCGUGUCCGGAUGUCCUUGGCGUGGAAGGCAAUCUUGGCGAUACGGAUAUGUAGAUCUCCUACCAUUGUAACCGACUCUGUGUAACCCUAACCCUCUUCGGUGCCUAUAUAAACCGGAGGGUUUUAGUCCGUAGGAAGAACAACAAUCAUACCAUAGGCUAGCUUCUAGGGUUUAGCCUCUCUGAUCUCGUGGUAGAUCUACUCUUGUACUACCCAUAUCAUCAAUAUCAAUCAAGCAGGAGUAGGGUUUUACCUCCAUCAAGAGGGCCCGAACCUGGGUAAAAACAUCGUGUCCCUUGUCUCCUGUUACCAUCCGCCUAGACGCAUAGUUCGGGACCCCCUACCCGAGAUCCGCCGGUUUUGACACCGACAUUGGUGCUUUCAUUUAGAGUUCCUCUGUGUCGUCAUCUUUAGGCCCGGUGGCUCCUCCGAUCAUCAACAACGAUGCGGUCCAGGGUGAGACUUUUCUCCCCGGACAGAUCUUUGUAUUCGGCGGCUUUGCACUGCGGGCCAAUUCGCUUGGCCACCUGGAGCAGAUUGAAAGCUACGCCCCUGGCCAUCAGGUCAGAUUUGGAAGUUUGAACUAUACGGUUGACGUCCGCGGAGACUUGAUCUUCGACGGGUUCGAGCCACAGCCAAGCGUGCCGCACUGUCACGAUGGGCAUAAUCUAGCUCUGCCGCCAGACAGUGCCCUGGAGGCCGCACAAGUGUCCGCUCCGACCCUUAGCUCGGAGCCGACUGCGCCGAUCGAGGACGGGUGGCUGGACACCGCCUCGGGGGCUGCCAUCUCUACGGCGAUUGAGCAGAACACCAACCCUGUCCUUUGCGAAGCUCGUGACUCCAAGGUGCCGGACUCCCCUCCGGACUCUGAACCUUCUGCGCCCCCACCAAUCGAAUCCGAUUGGGCGCCGAUCAUGGAGUUCACCGCCGCGGACAUCUUUCGGCACUCGCCCUUUGGCGACAUCCUGAAUUCACUAAAGUCUCUCUCUCUAUCAGGAGAGCCCUGGCCGGACUAUGGUCGGGAAGGUUGGGAUGCGGACGACGAAGAAAUUCGAAGCCCAACCAUCACCCACUUCGUAGCCACUGUCGAAAGUUUAAACGACAUGCUCGACUUCGACUCCGAAGACAUCGACGGUAUGGACGAUGAUGUAGGAGACAAACAUGAACCAGCACCUAUAGGGCACUGGACAGCCACCUCAUCUCACGAUGUAUACAUGGUGGACACACCUAAAGGAAGCGACGACGAGGAACAACGGGACGUCACGAGGGAUCAUUCCCUCGAAAAGCAGUCAAAACGGUGACGUAAGCGCCGCUCAAAGUCCCGCCUCGGCAAAGAUAGCAGCCAUACAGACCCAGCCAUAGAGCAGGGCGAACCGGUGGCCGACGAACAUGAUAUUGAGCAACCGUCCGAACAAGACAAUCUGGAUAAACAACCCAUCCCCGGUGAAGAUAACAGUCCGGGCGAUCUCACGCUGGACAAGUUACUGGAGCAGAAGAACCUCCAUAAAAGGCUCGUCGCCACUGCACGUAGCCUGAAAAAGCAGAAGCGGAAGCUCAAAACAGCGGAAGAUGCGCUCAGAAUCAGAUGGAGCAAAGUACUCAACACCGCAGACAAAUACGGCGAUAGUCGCCGAACAAAGAGCUACCCGAAGCGAAAACUACUGCCCGAAUUCGAUGAGGAGGCCGUAGAGCCCCCACAAUGAAAGAACAAGGAGACCACCCGGUCGGAUAGACGACCCCAUGGCAAACAUAAAGCGGCAAAUGGCGCCGCACACAAGCCGGCCCGUGAUCCGCACACGGAUUCGCAUCAAAAAGAUGGCCCAGUUAGAUCUAUCUACGGGCCAAGAAAGCAAGCUCUAGUAAGCAAUGCAACACAUCAAGUAUCCGAAUAUUACGGCACACCUAAAUAUAGGGGUGCCGCACACCCCCUAUGUUUUACCGAUGAGGUUCUGGAUUAUGAAUUUCCAGCGGGAUUCAAGCCCGUAAACAUAGAGGCAUACGACGGAACAACAGACCCUGGAGUCUGGAUCGAGGACUACAUCCUCCACCUACACAUGGCUAGAGGAGAUGACCUCCACGCCAUAAAAUACUUACCCCUCAAGCUCAAAGGGCCAGCCAGGCAUUGGCUCAAAAGCCUCCCCGAAAACACCAUUGAAAGUUGGGAAGAGCUCGAGGAUGCUUUUUGGGCAAAUUUUCAAGGGACCUAUGUCCGACCUCCGGAUGCAGACGAUUUAAGUCACAUAACUCAACAACCCAGAGAGUCAGCCCGAAAAUUCUGGAACAGAUUCCUUACUAAAAAGAACCAAAUAGUCGACUGUCCGGACGCCGAAGCCUUAGCAGCUUUCAAACACAACGUCCGAGACGAAUGGCUUACCAGACACCUCGGCCAAGAAAAGCCAAGAACAAUGGCCACAUUAACAAGCCUCAUGACCCGCUUCUGCGCGGGAGAGGAUAGCUGGCUGGCAAGAUGCAGUACCAGCGACCCAAGUACAUCCGAAGUCAGGGAUGGAAACGGGAAACUGCGACGCAGCAAGGACCAGCGUCGGACCAAGGGAAACAGCCCGAAGAGCACGGCAGUCAACGCCGGAUUCAAAAGCUCACGGCAGAAUCAUAAAAAGCUGCCCCCUAAGGAUAACAGGGACGAGCUAUCUAACUUAAACAAAAUCUUGGACAAGGUAUGUCAAAUCCACAGUACCCCCAGGAGGCCUGCAAAUCAUACCCACAGAGAUUGUUGGGUCUUCAAGCAGUCUUGCAAACUCAAUGCCGAACACAAGGGGCUCGACACACCGAGCGAGGACGAUUACGAACCCCACAAGCAGAGCACCAGAAAGCAAAAGAAUUUCCCACAAGAAGUCAAAAUAGUAAACUCACUUCGCGUGACCAAAGGGAAAAACAGAAUGGCGCCCAUAGAGAUAUGCACCAUACGGCCUAUCCCAGAGGAGUCCCGCCACUGGUUGUUAAAACCAAUCACCGUUGACCAUCAACAUUACUCUAGAAGUAUCCGGAAUGCAAGGUGGACUGCCUUGAUAUUAGAUCCAAUAAUCGACGGACUCCAAUUUACACAAGUCCUGAUGGACGGCGGUAGUGAUCUAAACCUGCUAUAUCAGGACACAAUCCGCAAAAUGGGGAUAGACCCAACCAAAGUUCGCCAUAGCAACACUUCCUUUCAAGGGGUAAUGCCAGGCCCAUAUGUGCAUUGUACGGGCUCUGUACUGCUAGAAGUUGUGUUCGGCUCACCCGACAACUCCCGCCGCGAAAAGUUAACCUUCCACCUCGCCCCAUUUACAAGUAACCACCAAGCACUACUGGGACACGAAGCUUUCGCCCGCUGUAACGCAAUACCGCAUUAUGCAUCCCUUACACUUAAAAUGCCUGGUCCGCGAGGCAUCAUCUCCUUAAAGGGAAAUAUCGAGUGUUCCUCGAGCGCGGAAGAUUGUGUGACUGCCUUGACAGCCACACGCUAAACCGGCUUCACUAAUCCAAGCACCUAAACAGGUCGUUCAGACCCCGGACACGGUUAGACGAGUCCGGCGUAAACAUACAAGGGCUUACCAGCCGCAUACCCCCGCACAAGGGGCUCUGCGCAUAUACAGCAAGAGACAAUAAAGCUCAGUUUUAUUCAUUUUUUGAAUCGUACUUUGUUUAUUUAAUAUAACGUACAUUUUUGCAUGAUCCAUUUUAACUAAGUUCCUCUCUUUUACAAAUGAACACCAUGCUACACCCGUACAGGAUACGGCACAACGGAGACACAGGCGCAGACGUGCAGUAGGGACCCGUUGCAAGGAUUCUUUUCAGAUUAAGACCCUGCGUAAACCUUUUUUACUGUCUCUUGUUGAUACACAUCCCCUGGUUUCUUGUUAUAACCAAGGAGGAGGCUGGCGUUUUGGCAUGGGCCACGUCAGAAUUUUGCGCGUACCUGGACACCAGGGGCUUAUUACCAAGGGCGUUGUUCGGCCCGUUUUCAUAAAGACCGAAUACCUUAGGGAGUGUUCGGCGUCUCGAGUUAGGCCUUAUAUGCAUCAGCUUCGAAUCAUGUCUUUUGUCAAAUGUUGGGUUUGCCCAGCUCCUGUGUUUUGCUUCCUUACGUUCCGCUCUAUCGGCUAACGCGGCACCAGGAGAACUACUGCAAUUGUGCCCCAGUUCGUCCAGACGAGCACCUCAGUAGAGAAAGCCGAAAACUGACUGUCAUGAUAUAGCGUGAGACUGGUCAACAACUCGAUGACCUGCCGGAAUCUUUAGGAUUCCUCCGCAUAGACGAAGGGUCGUUUCCCAGUCAGGCACAUACGCGCCCCGAAUUCGGGUGAGCGCGGUGCCCCUAGGGGCUAUAUAGUAGCCCCACUGUCAAACUCCUAUGGCUAAGUGAAAGUGAUAAAGCAUUAUAGUCCGGUUGCCUAGUUUGCUGCGCUACCACCUCCUUUAUAGGACCAAGACGUUGGAUCAAGUGUGAAAACGCACCUUUUGCAAACACCCCCGCAUUAUAUGCGUGGGGGCUGAAGCCGAAGACUCCCAUCUUUCAGGUUAUAUACACAUAUACAUUAAUGGCCGCUUAGGAGGUAUUUCAAUUCUUGAAGGCACACGUAUAAAAAGCUUUUAUAUUUCAUCGAAACAUUGUUUCACAAUAAUACAUGUUAUUCGAACAUAAUAUCUUUCGAGCACUGCGUCUCUAUUAAACGAGCGCCCUGCAGAACUUCCUGAAAAUAGUGCUCGACGGGUACUCGGCUUCCGUCCGAAUCUUGGGAUGCAACAUCGGUGGCCUUCAUCUCCGCCUAGCAUGUCUUGACACGGGCAAGAGCCAUCCGCACACCCUCUAUGCAUGCCGACCUUCUCAUUGCAUUGAUAUGCGGCACCGCACCAAGAAACUGCUGCACCAAGCCAAAAUAACUCUUCGGCUCGGGCCUCUUCGGCCACUAAAGACUCACGACAUCCUUCAUGGCAAGUCCGGAUAACCUAUUCAGCUCCGCCCAUUCGGCCAAGCGAUCGGUUAAUGGAAGUGGGCGCUCUCGAUUACGGAACUGCGACCAAAAAACCUUUUCCAUUUCGUGAUCCUCUUGAUCUCGGAAGUGUUCGGCCGCGUCCGCGGCACUUGCCACCAAGUCCAGAUAAGCAUCCUCCGCACUCCACAUCCGGUCCAACUGAGCAUAUUUAGGAUCCAUGAAUUUCCUCCGCAGCGGAAAGGGCUUUCCAGCCGCGAUAUCUCCAGCCUGACGCAGCUCCUCCUUUGUAGCUCUCAUUUCAAAGCGAGCAUCCUUGGCCUCGAUAGUGGCCUUGUUUAGGUCCUCUUGUACCACUCGGUCUUCUCUUUCAAGAAGCUGGCAGACGUCGGCAACAUUCUUCAACUUCACGGCCAUCUCGGCCAUUUUCUUCUUGCUUCGGCAGUGAGCAUCCUGUUCAGCUUUUAGCUCUUCGGCCGCCUUUAAGGCAGCCGCAUCACUCUUUCUGGCCUGCUCCUUAGCUCGGGCGAUCUCGCCCGAAGGUUCUCCAUGGCAGUGGCACCAUCUGCAUCAAGCAUACAUGUUGUAAGGCACGGUCAUCAAGCCCCCUUACCAUGUGUCCGCGGAGAAAUUGCAUACCUUGCGACUCGUCAAGUCGCUUAUUGACAAGCGCGAUGUCGGCAUCCGCCAUGUCAAGUUGCCGCUUUAGUUCGGCAAAUUCAUCAGUCCGGCCAGCCACCGGACCCUUCUCCACCUACAUAGGAAGGGCGACAUAUUAUACCUGGGAUUAUGAUCCUCGGUGCGCUGUCAUUUUUUGACAACACACCGAGCCUCAGGGGCUACUAUCUACACAGGGCGCAUUUUUAUGCGGAACUGUCAGAAGGUACAUCAUUUUGCGUACCUCAAAACCUGUCAGUAAACUUCUGACGGCUUCAUGCAAUCCGCUCUCAACAGAUGAAAUCCUUUCAAUCACCGUACCCAUUAACGCACGGUGAUCUUCUGAGAUAGAUGCUCGCCCGAGCAGAUCCUUCAGCUCCUCUGACCGGACACCAGGUGGUGUCGGACUCGUCCGAUGGCCUUUGUUGAAGGCCGGAUGUGGAGGGCUUUGAGGGGACAUACGACUGCCUUCCGGCCCUGCCGGACUCAGAGAAACCCUCCACGACGACACCUCAGGGUCGCCCGCCUCACACGACGGUACGGUAGGGGGAGGCAUUUCGCUCUCUAUCAUCUCCGGACGAAGAUCCCCCGAAGAUGAGCUCUGCUAAGAAGGGCUGAGAUCCGAACUACAAGGUAAAACUUCGGUUAUCUUCAUCAGAAAUAGGGCAAGGAUAUCCUUUAUUUUAAUAAAAACUCCCCUUUUUACUUACGGCUUGGUGGAGGGCUGAUCCCCUUGGGGGCAUAAUGCGGCCGAGGCAUCUCUCAGCGCAGGACCCUCUGACAAAGAUUUCUUCCCCCGCUUUGAGACCAUGGUCUCCGGGUCUUCAGAGGCGGUCCUCUUCUUCCCCUGGAUGGAGGAUUCUCGAUCCCUCCUUUCCUGACAGCCUCCUUCGUGGAGGCAGUAGCUUCCUUGUUCCUCCCUUCACCUUCUUCUGAAGGUGCCACCUCCAGCAUCCUGGUUAACACGGGAUCCGGCGUGGUCUCGGGGAGGGGGGCCGGACACCUAAUUAGCUUUGCUUUCGCUAUCCACUCCUGUUCAAGGGACAGCUCUUUUGAGGGCAAAUUCAUGAUAAAUAUGGGAUAACGUGUCCGGAUACAGGGCUACUUAGUUGAGUAUACGGGCGAUUGCAGCUCAGACCUGCAUCCUCGGUCAAGUCCGGACACAUCGCUUGUGAUCCAAGGAAAAGCUUGUACAUCUCCACGGGCGUCGCGCCCAUAAAAUGUUGGAGAGCUCGUGGUCCCUCCGGGUUAAAUUCCCACAGGCGGAGGGGGCGACGUCUGCAGGGCAGGAUGCGACGAAUCAGCAUGACCUGUGCUACUAUGACCAGAGUGAUCUCUCUCUAGGAGAUCUCGAAUGCAGCCCUGCAGCAAGGGCACAUCCUUGGACGGCCCCCAGUCAAGUCCUUUAUUGACCCAUGACGCCAGCCGCGGUGGAGGACCCGAGAGAAAGGUAGGUGGCGCCACCCAUUUGGUGCCCCUGGGAGCUGUGAUAUAAAACCACUCUUGUUGCCAUAGGCUGAGCUCCUCUUGAAAGGAGCCCUCGGGCCACGGAGCGUCAGCAUUCCUGCUUAUAACAGCCCCUCCGCACUCUUCCUGCUUCCCCUUGAUCAUCUUUGGCUCCACUUUGAUGGUCUUGAGCCACAAUCCGAAGUGAGGGGUAAUGCGGAGGAAGGCUUCGCAUACGACAAUGAACGAUGAGAUGUGGUCGAUGGACUCCGGAUCCAAGUCGUGAAAUUCCAACCCAUAAUAAAACAUGAGCCCCCUCACGAAGGGGUCCGUCGGGAAGCUUAGCCCCCGAAGGAAGUGAGACGCCAACACCACUCUUUCACCAAGCUUGGCAGUGGGAAUAACCUGCCCUUGGGCAGGCAGCCUAUGCGAAAUUUCGCCGGUUAGAUACCUAGCAUCUCUUAGCUUUAGCACGUCUUCUUCCGUAACGGAGGAAGGCAUCCACUGGCCUUGCAGGUUGGAGCCGGACAUCAUCGAGGGUCCGAAGCGCCUGAAUCUGGAGCUUUGGGUGUUGGAACUCGAGGCGAGGGGCGGAUUCGAUUGAGAUUGAAAGAAAGGAGUGGAGCCUUGGUCUCUUUAUAAAGAGGUUGAAUACCAAGAGCCUUCCCCGUGACCGUUCGGGACUCGCCUUCGAUAGAGGAGACGUGCCAACGGGCACGACUGGGUUACCCAUACUCGUAUUGAUGAGAAUCCCGAAAUAAGGGGACACGAUCUCUGCUUUGACAAGACGUGCCAAGGAAACCGCCUCGCUAAACACGCUGAGGUGGGACAGUAAAAAUGAUUCGAAUAAAGGCUUGGCUGUGGUGUGAUGUCACGCCACGAAAUACGUCAGCAGAUUGAACUUGUGUAAAUAUUAUUCUCUCUACAUGGGUAUGUGGAACUUAUUUUGCAGAGUCGGACACUAUCCUUGUGUUCAAAAUCUUCUAUGAAGUAUUCGGAGGAGGAACCUGCCUUGCAAUGCUGAAGACAAUAUGCGCGCCGGACUCGUCGUCAUUGAAGCCUGGUUCAGGGGCUACUGAGGGAGUCCUGGAUUAGGGGGUGUCCAGAUGGCCGGACUAUUGCCUUUGGCUGGACUCCUGGACUAUGAAGAUACAAGAUUGAAGACUUCGUCCCGUGUCCGGAUGGGACUUUCCUUGGCAUGGAAGGCAAGCUUGGCGAUACGGAUAUGUAGAUAUCCUACCAUUGUAACCGACUCUGUGUAACCCUAACCCUCUUCGGUGCCUAUAUAAACCGGAGGGUUUUAGUCCGUAGGAAGAACAACAAUCAUACCAUAGGCUAGCUUCUAGGGUUUAGCCUCUCUGAUCUCGUGGUAGAUCUACUCUUGUACUAUCCAUAUCAUCCAUAUCAAUCAAGCAGGAGUAGGGUUUUACCUCCAUCGAGAGGGCCCGAACCUGGGUAAAAACAUCGUGUCCCUUGUCUCCUAUUACCAUCCGCCUAGACGCACAGUUCGGGACCCCCUACCCGAGAUCUGCCGGUUUUGACACCGACACCUCCAUACACGUUUCAUCAUUAUGCAUGGCAGUGGAAUGUACUAGAUAUAGACGACAUCCACGACGCUGCAAUGGAUGGCUAUCUUCGUUUCAAUAUCUACAAGGGUUGGAUGAAGAGCAAGAGCCAAGUGUGCGGUUCAAGCAAAGAAGUAUCGGCCAAGAGGAAGAGGGACAAGGACGAUGUCGAGGACGUGGAUGAGGACUCCGAGUAAGGUGGCAGUUUCGUUGCUCAUGGUGGUUCUAAUGCAGUGUCUACCAGAGUAGUUGCAAAGUUUAAUUUCAGGUGUGCUUAGUUUAAUUUGAGGGGUGUGUUAUGCUGAGCCCCCAGCAGAACUAUUUUAUGUUUCUUCUUGUUACUUUAACUCUUCAGUACGUACAUACUAGUAUUUCUUACAUUUCGUCUUUUAGUUGGUAUAGUACUACCACUCAUUUCUUCACAUUAUAUACGUACAAUAUAUAUGGCCAACAUCAUAUAGCCAGCAGUAUAGUUGUCAAAGAAUUUCAGGGUGCUUAGUUUUGUCAAAGAAUUCCAGGGUGCUUAGUUUUAUUUGAGAGGUGGGUUGUGCACUUGUGCUGGACACCAUUAUUGUGACUAGCCUUUUUAAUAGUACUAUAUGCAUAAUUUGGCGACGAGCUCUCUCUAUAUGUACCACCUUUUUUUAAUUUCAAGUUUUGCUCCAUGGCGCAAUCUAUCGAUACUACUACUGUACAAAAGUGGAGUAUAUACAUUUUUUAAAAGGCUAGAGGGCGGGGCAGUCUAGCUCGGUCGGUUUCAUGAGAGGCGAGGGCCUUUGUGAUUUGACAACUCAUUACUGCUAUCAAAUCGAAUAGUACUGCGUCGCCCGCUGCAUGCCUGGUGCCUCCAUUAAACCCCUCCGCUAAACCCGCAUGCAAACCGAGAAUCCUACUUCGGCCACACGUCCAUUCAUGAGCGGGCCGGAAUUAAACACAACACCGGCCGAGCUCCUCCCAUCCGACCUCAGUUUAAACGAGGCCAGAUGCCGGCCAAGCUCCUACCAUCCGCCCUCUAUUUACACGAGGCCAGACAGACAGCGGGCAAGAAUCGCACCCCUCCGCCGCUCCCCCAUCUCCUCCUUCACCAUUUUCUCCACUCUUCCGAUGGCUUUCGAGGAGCCGUUGUCCGGCAUAUUACCCAGCUGGGUGGGCCCUCCGGAUAUGGGCGAGUCCGCUUGGUUCUUCACCAACCUCGCUUGGACCGACGAAGCCAGUUGCCGCCCCAAGCAGACGCGUGGUUCAGCAACUCACCGCUCCAGUUCAGCUCGAUGAGGAGUGGCGAGUUGCUCCACGCCGGCACGGCGGCGAGCAUGCUGGUACGGGCGUCAUCGCUGUUGCGUCGUACCGCGCCACCAGUGUCUGCAGUGACCGUUCCUCCCAUGUCUGUCGGCACGCCUCCCGUGCCUGGGGCAGCGCCAUGCUGGAAGAGACAGAAGCCGGGUGCAUGGAGAGUGACGAGUCGGUGGCCAGCUUCUCCGUGUCCGCUGCCAUCAUCAAGGAGAAGUAGAACACGGGAGGCCGCCGCCACUUGGGACCAUAAAGGCCACCGCCGAGGUGACGACUGCGCAUUCAAGUGGUUUCUUUGCUGCUUCGUCUCUUCCAAGGACCUUCAUCGACCCCGCAAGUGUCCUGACGGACAUGAGGAAGACAAAGGGAUCCGCGGGCUGCCAUUUAGAUUAUGUACUCCCUCUACAGCUGGCGGGAAAUAUUUGUUCUAAGAAUGGAUAAAUUGUAUGUAUCUAUAACUAAAAUAAGUCUAGAUACAUCCAUUUCUAGGACAAGUAUUUCUGGACGGAGGGAGUGUUAAUUAUACCAAGAGAGCCGGAUUGGCACCGCUUAGUUCAUGUAAAUAUACUAAAAUCCAUCAUGUUUAUAUGAAGAUCCGGCUUUUUUAUACGAAAUCCUUCAUGCUUAUAUGAAAUUAGUCCGUGUUUGCACGAAUUUCAUCUGGUUGGUUAGAGUUGUAAAAAUGUAUGCCACUGGCGUUUGAUGUCGUCCUCCGCGGAAGGAAGCGGGAGGAAAUUUGCCGACUGCCGUUGGAGAUGCUCUUAUGAUGGAAAUAACAGUGACAUCCAAUCCAUUUGAGUUAACUGCCUGUAUGAUUGUCCCUCUAUAAAAAGUUAAUUGCAUGUACAGUGUACACAUGACUUGCAGGGUGGCUACAGCUUCGUACAGAAAGUUAAAAAGAAACAAGUCCAUCCUUAAUCUUGUAUGCUAAGUACUCUGUGGGUUCCACUGUCAGUACAGUAGCGAAAUAAGUAUAUAUUAAAUAUGUAAUAUAUAAUAUAAAAAUCUAAAGUUAAAAGACAGAAUUCGAACUCAUGUCAUCGCGUUGCGAGCAUCCGGCGCUAACCAACCCAGCACAUUUUUGUUGUAGCCCAUGCUGGAGAUAUAUCUCCAUGUCUACUCUUAUACUCCAUUUGUUCCUAAAUAUUUGUCUUUUUCAGAUUUCAAAUGGACUACCACAUAUGGAUGUGUAUGUAGACAUAUUUUAGAGUGUAGAUUCACUCAUUUUGCUCCGUAUAUCUUUUCAGGAAGGGGUCAUAUUUGUCCUUGAUUUAUUUAUGAGGUAUCCAGAUGGCACUGCACCGCCAAGAAAAGAGGGUAACAUCAAAAUUAUGGAAUACUUUUUUCAGUAUGUUGGUAAGGUCCGGUCAUAGUCACUUGUGGAAAUCUCUAAAAAGACAAAUACUCCCUCCGUCCGGAAAUACUUGUCAUCAAAAUGGAUAAAAGGAAAUGUAUCUAGACGUAUUUUAGUUUUAGAUACAUCUCUUUUUAUCCAUUUUGAUGACAAGUAUUUUCGGACGGAGGGAGUAUUUAGGAACGGAGGGAGUAGAAAAGAGAGUUGGUGAUGAUGGUGUGCGUGCCAUCCUGCAAUAUAGGUCGUCGGAUUUAUAUCUAACGGAUAGGAAAGAAACUAUGGUAAUUUUGCAAAAAUAUACCCACACGCCUCUCCAUGUUCGCAAAUAAGGCCUUCCCUCGUACAAACUUUUCUCUUACAAGAUAAACUACUCAUACAAAUGCAUUUUGAUGUUCCGUGCAACGCAUGGGCAACUAGCUAGUUUCUUUUAAAAUAGUUGUUGGGAUAAUUGGGUUGAAGUGAUAUAUUUUAUGUCUGCCCCGAAUGAUUUCAGAUUCACUAGUAGUAACAAAGAAAAGGUUGCCUUGUUAAUUAACAGAAAACAGGGUGAAAACUAUCACAUGAGGCCGGUAAAAAAAAGGCACACUGGGUUCAGCGUCAUCGUCACUACAACUUUGCGUGCGCGAGAAGUCUACAUAUUGAGGGGGCUACCGAGCGAGGCACCGAGACACAUUGUUUGAGAGAGAAACCAAUUGACAAAUUAUGAUCAGAUCGAGUUGUCACCCUUCUGCUAUCAUUGUUGCGGGGGAGGGAGAGAAAGACGUAUCGAGAGUGCGCACGGUAGGCAUAGAGGCACAACUACUGUGUGUGUGUGUGUGUGUGUGUGUGUUUGAAAGAGGAGUAGAUAGAUUAUUAUCAAGAUCGAUGUGCCACCCUACUCCUUCGGUGCCAGGUAGUGUGUGUGUGUGUGUGUGUGCGUAUGUUUGAGAGAGAAGCCAGUCGAUAGAUUAGUAUCAAGAUCGAGGUGUCACCCUACUCCUUCGGUGUUGGGAAGUGUGGGUGUGUGGGUGUGGGUGUGGUUAUGGGGGGGCAGUGAUACUCACAUAUCUCUACUCUUAUAAAAAAAACAUUGUUGGUGAUGAUGGUGUUCCUGCCAUCCUGCAAUAUAGGCCAUCCGAUUUAUAUCCGACAGAUAGGAAGGAAAUUAUGGCAAUUUUGCAAAAAGAUACCCACAUCCCUCUCCGCAUUUGCAAAUAAGGCAUUCCCUUGUUCAUCCUUUUCUCCCACAAGAUAAACUACUCAUACAAAUGCAUCUUGAUGUUCCGUGCAACGCAUGGGCAUCUUGCUAGUAGGGAGAAGGAUUUUGUGUGACACAUAUCUAGCUAUAUUAAGGGAUAGGUAGAUAGCAUUUGUGCGAGGCAUACUUAAAGCCUCACGAAGAUAAACAAACGGUGUGUGUGUGCAUGCAAGUGCCGGAAAAAAUGAAGCGAGAAACAAUGUGUGUUUGUGUGUGUGUGUGUGUGUGUGUGUUUGUGAGAGAGAGAGAGAGAGAGAGAAAUCUCAAAACAAAAGGUGCUAUGUUGGAAUCCCAUUGUAUGUAUUCAUAUGGUUCCGGAACUCGAGUUAACCUUAGGUAUAUGUGUGAGAGACAUUAUUAUACUUUGAGAUAUUAGUGGCUGCGGGUGGGCGGAAUUAAAGGGGUGGGUGUGUUAGACAAAGACAGCAUGUGUGGUUCUGCGUGAGAGACUUGUAGGACGGGGUACGAAUUUAACCUUGACGGAGGGAGAGAAAUACACGAAGUGCACCUGUGUGAUUCCAAUGCCCACAGGGAAAUGCGAUAUGUAUGCGUGUGAGAGAUUGCACAAUUCAUUCACGUAUCACUAUCUAGCGAUCGUGGAUGUGCAUCACUUGAACAUAAGUCAAUAUCUACUUUGUAUCGUGGCCCAAGGUACAAUAUCGAUUCAACGCUAUAAAGAUUGGACACUCACAUAUCAAAAAAAUUCUAUUUAAAUAAACCUUUUCAGUUGUGCAUGCCAAAGUUACAGUGAUGUUUCUUCAAACAACCAAUGUAGCUAUCAUGUACAUGCACCAUUGUUACUCUUGCAUUAAAAUUCAUUAGUCUUGGAUGAUUUAAGUUUCUAUUUUGAAGUAAUAUAUGUAAUAUUCAUAUAUGAAUUCAACGGGUACGCAAUUUAUGAAAUGGAGGCUAUGUAAUCAUAUGAGGUAACACUUUUAAGUAGCGGACUACAAUAUCCAUCUCUUUUUGUGUGCCUCUACACUACCACGUCAAUGCAUUAUGUUUAAAGUAAAUAACCAAUGGCACUAAAUUAUCUAUUUAUACGAGAAAUACAUAGGUUGAGCGUUUGAUCCCUUUUUUGUGAACGCGCCACUACACCCGUACGAUUGGCCGCGCCCGUGUGAACGUCCAAGUUAUCGGCGCAUCAUCCCGAGUUAUUGUCUUUUUUUCUGGGGUGGACUUCACACCAGUUAUUAACUGCUGACGCGUGCCCCGUGUACACAGUCUAGCAUGACCUUCCCGCUAGCAUGGUCCAAAAUUAGUUGAAACUGGAUACGAAUGAUCCCGCGGGAGGCAAAAUCUCCCGCUUCCUUCUAAAAUUUCCGCCACCUUAGCCUUUAGCAUGCGAAAUUUCCCUUUUGUCCUUGGUGCACGGAGACCAACAGUUACUAUACCGCCCUCAUCUACAUGAUAGGUCGGGGCUGCUUUGGUAACUUCCGGUUCCCCCCAGUACAUGACACCCCCAUUUCCUCUCCCCCUCCCGCAAAACCGACUAUCUCCACAGCACCAAAGCAUCUUACAUCACGCCGUCCAUACUUCAUCGCCCUUUCUCCCCUCCCCUCUAGAAAUCCUAGACUGCUCAUCCACCGGUGUACCAUAGCCCAUUCACUGCCAGCGGCGUCCACCUCGCCGGAUCUGCUUCUGCGGCCGCAUCUACCCCUCCCACCUCCCCUAGAAACAAGUAGACUGCUCAUCCACCACUGUACCACAGCCCAUUCAGUGUCGGCCUUGUCCACGGCGCCGGAUUUGCUUCGCCGGUACUCUCGUCAACCGCCACGCAUCUGCAGCGGCUCAUUCGUACUCCCCACCGGAGAUGCUUCGUCCACACCUCUCGGGGCCGCCCCACCGACGCCCCCGUCGAUGGCCUCUGAUCCUCUUCGCCGACACCUUCCUCAGCCCUACCGAAGCCGCUUCGCCGACACCAUCGUCAACCCUACCGGAGUAGCUUCGCCUAUACCAUUCUCAACCCUACCGGGGCUGCUUUGCCAACUCACAAGUCCACGGCCUCAGAUCCGCUUCCUCGCAUCCUCAUCCAACCUACCAGAGCAGCUUUUGACGCCCCAUCCACGGCCGCAGAUCCGCAUCAUCGACACCAUCCUUAACCCAACCACCGGAGCAGCUUCUGAUGCCCCGUCCAUGGCCGCAGAUCUGCAUCGUCGACACCAUCCUUAACCCAACCACCGGAUAAGCUUCUGACGCCCCGUCCACGGCCGCAGAUCCGCGUCGUCGACACCAUCCUUAACCCAACCACCGGAGCAGCUUCACCUACGCCCUCGUCCGCGACCACAGAUCCGCUUUGCCCACACUAUAGUCCACCCUACCGGAGCCGCUCCACAAACAUGCUACUCGACGGUUCUAGAUCUCCUUACCGGACCCCGACAUCCAGUGCAGCGUCAUCACCCUUGACGUUUCUAACCUGAUUCCCACCGUCUGGAGAGAUGCCAAGCACCCGCCACGGCCUAGGUACUUGUCACCUUUAAUCCCGUCCAGCAUCACCUGCCUGAUAUACUUCAAAUAUACUAACCGGUCGCUGUUACCUGUUAUGCAGCUGGCAAAAACUACAAGAAUGAUGUUUCUUCUGGAUCUAACAGCUUGUCCAACCAAGAUCCUGGACUGAGGCAUUGCUAUGAUCUUGUAAGUGCGUCUCUCUCUCUUGUAUUGUUCUAUGCAUGCCAGCGUGCUUUGCUAGGAUUUUCGACCAGUAAUCCCUUUGUGCAGACAAUGAUUUCUACUACCGGCUGCUAAAUUAGAUAUGUAGAUGUCAUACAUGAUACUACCUCGUACCUACGUUCCUAAAUAUAAGUCUUUCUAGAGAUUCCACUAUAGGCUACAUACGGAGCAAAAUGAGUGAAUCUACACUCGAAAAUGCAUCUAUAUACAUCUAUAUGUGGUCCAUACUGGAAUCUCUACAAAGACAUAUAUUUAGGAACAGGGGCAGUACAUUACACAAAAUCGUAGGUGGCAUGUAGGAAUUCCAGUGCACUACAUUAGGCUCCCUUAGAGUGCCUGCUAGUCCAGUAUACAGAGUCAUGGCAAGUUUAUGGUACGCACACAAUCGUUAAUUGGUGGUUUAAAUAUGCGCAAGGGAUAUGCAAUGUAGUAUCAUGUAGAGAUGUCUGAAAUUAGCCGUGUCAACUUGCAGAUGGGGUUACACAAUGAAAAAGUACAAGAUGUAUGUUGCAAUUUCAUGGAACAUCGGAAAAAAAGGAGAGGCAGCGGUGAGCCUAUACAGUGGGCUAUGGUACGUCACUCCUCCAUUGCAAUCAUCAUGACAUGUUAUUUGUAUGUCAGUUCUAUUAGCCAAGUUUCUUAGGGAUAGUUAUUAUGAGUUAUCCUAAGAAAAUAAGCACCUGUGAAUAUAAGCUCCAUGUAAUAAGCCAACCAGUUCUUUUCAUUGCGUUUUCAGCUUAUCUUUGGUAUGAUCAGUGGAAAGUAUAGAUUGCAUUAUAUAUUUUUCAUUUUGCUGCACAUAUAAAAAUUAAUUUGACUUGCAAACAUCACAAAUUGAACCCAGUGCAGUAAUUAAUAUGAUAGGAAAACAGACCAUCACUAUUUGUUCAAAAUGCAAAUACAAAUAUACCAUCUACUUGGCACAAUCUACUUUGGUCAAUGUUUUCCACAGAGAUCCCAUUGCCUAAUUUAAACGAAGAACGCAUGACCCACAUUAAAUGAAGAACAAUUAUUUAUUAAAAUUCGAUGGUCCAAGUGGCUGCUUAUUAUCAUAUAGCAGCACCACCUGAAAGCAUCAUAUAGCAGUAGUAGCUCAUAGCAACUCAUCAUACAGCAGCAGCAGUCUGCAAUUCAUCAUAUACCAGCAGCAGGAGCAGCUCAUAGCAAUUCAUCAUAUAGCAGCAGCAGGAGCAGCUCAUAGAUAUUCAUCAUAUAGCAGCAGCAGGAGCAGCUCAUAGCAAUUCAUCAUAUAGCAGCAGCAGAAGUAGCUCAUAACAAUUCAUCAUAUAGCAUCAGCAGGAGCAGCUUAUAGAAACUCAUCAUAUAGCAGCAGCAGCAGGUCAUAGCAAUUCAUCAUAUAGCAGCAGCAGCAACUCAUAGCAAUUCAACAUACAGCAGGAGCAACUCAUAGCAAUUCAUCAUAUAGCAGCAGCAAGAACAACUCAUAGCAAUGCAUCAUAUAGCAGUAGCAGAAGCAGCUCAUAGCAAUUCAUCAUAUAGUGGAUCAGAAUGAAAAUUUCACUACAAGAAAUAUGUCAACUUGUGACCUUGACUAUUGGUCACUGAAAGGUCAUUGUUUUUCAUUUGCGACCUUUUUGUGACCAAAAAUAGAAGGUCAAAAGCUGGCGGUCGUAAACUGAAAUUAUCGACCUUCUCUGUGAGAAGGUCGUAGACGUUUACAACCAAAACAGAAGGUCGUUGAACCCAUGACUUUUUGUUUUGGUCACUGGUUGUCUGCCCAGGCCACAUCGGAUCCGAUGUGGCAAUCUGACGUGGCAAAAUUACGACCAAUUCAAAAGGUCACUGACAAGAUUCAGUCCGGUCCGAUUAGGUGUUUUAGAUGGGCCGAGCCCACUAAUUCAACAAACGUAUGUUUUUUUGAUGGUCAACUAAAUGGGCCAAGCCCAAUUUUACAGCCCUUUUCUUUUUUGGGCCCUUUACUUUUUCUAGUAAAUUUCUUGUUUUGUUGACCUUUUCAUUUUGUUUUUUAUAACUUAUGGCAGAAUUAUUAUUAUUUUCGUUAUUUAAAUAAUAUAAACAACUCCACAACAACAUCAUCAGUUAGGUUGUAGCCUUUUUAGGCGCAGUAUAACUUUAAGCAUAGAAAAUUGGAAAACAGAUAUUUAACCCAUAUAUAUUGUUGAGAAUUUUUCAUAAUUUAGAUGUCAAAGAAAGAUGUACACAGGAAUACAAUUUUGUUGUCAAAGUAGCAUGCCAAACGUACAUUUUCAUUACAUCAUACAUAAAAACAGCAAUAAAAAGUUAAAAAUAUGCCAUAUGGCUCAGAUCACAUAACACAGGACAUCCAGGUUCAAAUGAUCCCAGCAACGAAAAAACAUCACCAGCACAGCAUACUAUUUGCACAUUCAAAGAGAACAAACUAUAUGUCAAAAGAGAACAAGGCAGAAAAUAGCCACUAAAAUAAAGGAGAUAGUAUACUCGGUAAUUAGUACAGAUUUGCUCACUGGACACACACACAUUUGGCAUAUACUUUUGAAAAGAAGUGCAGAUUCAAGUAAACUGUAGAGUUAUAUCAAGACUAAGAUACCUGUUGGUAAACAACAACAGGAAAACUCAGAUAGAAACUAAUAAACCUAGAUAGAAAGUAACAAACUUGUACCCUUGAUACAGACCAGUAAUUAACCCAAAUAAUCAGUACAUUCUAACAUGUUAAGUGGCUACCAUUCCAAUCAUAAUUGUACCAUGCCAUAGGAAAAAAAUCUGUGACAUGACUGCUACAAAUUAAACUGAUGCUCUUCUACUACUAGACCAUUCAAGCUCAUGGUCAGGAUCAACAAUACUAAUAACCUGUAGGUACAAUGGUACAGUAGCAAGCAAAUAGUGCAAUAAUCCCACCACAACGCAUGAAGAAAAACACUAUCGUACUGCCACUAUCAUCCCUUCAACUGACAACAUCUAUUUCAUGGAGGGAGGGAAGGGACUACAUAGGCUAGUACUAGUUAAUGAUGGCGUCGACGAUGAUAUGUAUGAGGUUGGCGUCGGUGAGCAGGGAUCCACCUCCCGUCAGUUCCAUCCAUGUUCCGGUGAGGCAUUUUCCUCAUAACCAGGUUGUAUCACCAUGAAAACAGAACAGAGUCAGCGAACAGUAAGAACCUCCUCACGAUCGACCAGAAGAAGAACAAGAUAAAUCUGGUCAAAUGCAUGACUUUUGACUUUUGUUCACCUUACAUACUAGAACAAGAACAGUAAGAACCAGAACCUAAUUGUAUAAACACACACAAAAUAAACCUUUACCUCUUGACUCUAGAGAUUAUCAAACUUCUACUCUGCAGUUGUCGUUCUAUCCACCUCUGCAUGCAUCCAUUCCUCCAGCUCUAAGCAACUUCCAAGACACAGUAGCCGCUGGAACAUGCACACAAACAAACACAACAAACAAAUUAAUCGAGAUUUUGCAUAAGCCAGAGUCAAGCACAAGUUAUUCAAGGGCAAACGGUGUGAAGAGCUUGAUGAUUAUAUUUGACAUAGGCAGUUACACGGGAGAGUCAGUCACAUGUACAAAUUUUAGCUUUUUCU
rnacentral:lncRNA from 1 species